UUAAUAUGAGGGUAUUUUCGUAUUUUUAUCUCUUUACCAAUCACUAUCCUUCUUAUCCCACCUACUCCAACCAAACAUUAUUUUUCACUAUCCUAAACUAACUCCAAACCCCAACCAAACAUAAAAAUACUCUAACCCCAUCUUAACCCUGAACUUAAUCGUAUCUCUGGAAUAACUAGUUUUUUCUUAACCCCAAACCAAACGAUAGUUUUGAGUUUGCCAAGUUCGAACUCCUGCAUCUGAUUAAAUUUAGGGUUCGUGCCCUGUCUUCAAGUUUAAUAUAAAUAAAUUUUUAGAGGUUCUUCGAGGUGUGGGACCAACAGACAAGUUUCAAAAAGGAAAGAAGAAAAGAAAAAGAAGCAAGAUAAUUUGUCAUGAUUUGGAUUGGAUUAACGGGUUAAUGGGGCUAGUAAUUAAUUUAAAGCCCUAGUACGUAGUACAAUACAAUUAUUUAAUAGGAGGCCUACCUUUCAACCACCCCCCUACCCACCCAAUGCAUCUCAGUUUGAUACUUAUCACAAUACUAGUACAUGAGCCCCCACCUAUACAAAGUUGUCACAGCCCCAGUAGGCUCUCCGGCCUAUUCAAAAAAGUGGAGGUCUCUUUUAAACUAUCCCUUUCUAUCCAUGCACUUCCCCCAUCUAUCUACAUAAAAGCCUAACUAUGUGCCCAUGCAUGGCAUCAUUCAUGACUUUUCCCCUCUGCCCUCUUUCGUGCUUCUGGAAGCACUUCUCUCAAAAGCUACAAGAUUUGGACCAUUGCUUUCCAUUUCUUUCUUUUUUCUUUUUUUUUUUUGGAGAGAGAGAGAGAGAGAGAGAGAGAGAACUGGGUUGAGAUUCCACUGUGUUAUGACAAAUUAUUAUUGCCUAGAACUUAUCCAUCAUGGAUUGGUUUUGUAAAACUCCUUCCUACAUGUCUCAAAGUGAACGUUUUCACAUGCAAUCUAUUGACUUAAAAGACCAUCACUCUGUCUUAUGGCGUGAGGUCAGAUUAGACCGAAUCACGCUCGAAAUGGUACGAGACUGGAUUAAGCAAAGUAAUGUUCGAAGUGGCGUGAGACCAAUUGGGCCGAGUCAUAAUCAUAACGUACUCCAUUUUUCUUUGACAAAUAAGACAGUACUGUGCGCACUAUUUUUGUGCGCUUUAAUUGAAUCGGUUAAAUAUCUAACGGUUCGAGCUUUUGGAAUUUACGAUUGGUGCCAAUGAUCCGACACAAUCUCAACACAUUAAGAGUUUGAAAAGUAAAAAUUAUAAUUGUGAAAAUCCAUUUCUCUUUGUAACAAUUAAGAGCUUUGGGACUAUAUAUCUAGAUAUAUUCGUAAUGAAUUUCGACAAUACGAUCUAAUAUUGAGAACUCUGUUUUGAGCAAAAAGUGUGCAUAUGUGUGGUUUAUGAACAUCGUCAGAUAAUAAUAAUAAUAAUAAUAAUAAUGAAUUGGCUCUUGGCUAACAUGGAGGAUGAGGUCCAGGGCAUUACUAUAAUUAAUUAAUUUUUAUUGUGAUAUUAAUAGAUGUUUAAAAUCUUGCCGGCCAACUGCUGGCUGACAUGUGCCAGCAAAUGGAGCUUCUUCAUAAGCUGAAUGGGUUGGCCUGCAGCAAAGGUUAAUGGAAUUCAUAGUUGGAGAUUUGCAACUUGGCAAAAUAAUUCCACUAAACCAUUGAAUAGCCUUAUCUUUGUGCUUUCCCUUUCUUUCUUUUUUCAGUGAGCAAAGGAUAUCUCACAUGUUCCAUUUUCCUGACAGAAAAGGAAGGAUGAAAAGGGAGUUCAGAAGAGAAUCUUUUUAAACAGUGCAAAAAUUGAUGACUUUAUGGUAACAUCUUUACAUGUUAGCAAAUCCCUAUCUUUUCAGCAUUGUUGGACAAUAGUUUUUGAGUAUUUAAAUAUAAAAGAUACACAUAUUUCUAACAGUUUGAGAAUUUUUGCUAAAAACACACUAUUAAAGUAGGAGAUUCCGAGUUUAAAUUUCACCAGACUCUUUUAAUUUUCUCAUUCACUUUCUUUCAUUUAAUUCAAAUUCACGUCUGUCUCGGCAAGUAUGAAAAACAUCAUUCUUUUGAAGAAAAAUAGCUAUUAAUUUCACAUAAUGUAACACAUAAUAACAGUACUACUGGAGUCUUCAACAAAUUUAGUUAACUUCCCUCUCUUUUCAGAGAGUUCAGUUAAAGAAGGUGGUCUUUCAUGACAGAAUGAACUGAAUUUUCACUUCUCAGGUAAAUUACAUCCCUCUUCGGUUCAAAAGGAAGCAAUUACAAAGUUACAAAAGCUUUAUGAACGAAAAUACGCAACUAUCAUUCCCUUUUCUUUUAUCCUAAUCGACUUCCCAAAUCCCUUUUACACUCAGGUAGGGGCCAAAAUUACAAAGAUGAAAAUAAUGUACAAUUCACGCCGGGCGUCGCUAGAUAACUGGAAAACGCCAAAGAGGCAUACGAACUAAACUAAACAUCCACCGCAUCAACGGUGAGAGACUUUGUUCUUUCCAGAGAAUUUGGCACAAGUGAACUAGCAUAGAAGCUCUCCACAGUGAACAUGAACUCAGGACUACCACUCUCUAUAUUCAACUCACAUUGUUGAGCCAUUUCGGCUCCCAAAUCGUGAUAGCCAUUAGUCAAAUCUUGAUUUGCUUUGCAUCGGGGAAUGCGGAAAGAGUGAUGAGUGCCCAAAUGGAACGACUCGAUCUUACCGUUGAGUGCUUGCAAUGGUUUUACCAUGGAAUCAUUAAAUCCGUUAUCCACACUCUUUUCCGAGUGAUGAUGCAAAUGUUUACUUGAUUCUCCCAAGUGUUGAGCUCUGUACUCUCCUUGCUCCGUUUGGUUCUUUGCUUUGAGAUCGGGUUGCGGUUUUGGUGAUCUAAGGCAUUGUACUUUAACUGAAUGGGAGCGAAAUUGGCGGAAAGAUUUUCUUAUCUCGCUCUUUUCAUCCCCAUUCAUGUGUAUAAUCUUCUCACCGUUGUAUGUCUCUCCUCCUGAUUCUCUCGAAUGAAAAUCAAGGCCAUCGGAUUGGCUCGACCCCUCGACUUGGUAUGUUAUCUCUUCAAAUCUUCCAUGCAUUUCGGCACACUCAAGUUGCGCGCAGCAGCACCCCAAAUUCUCCAUCGAUGACAAGUAGUCGAGGAACGAACCAGACGACGAGGCAUUUGAUGCACAGUUAUGGCAAACCUUUGCGUUCGGAGCUUCUUCUAUACCUGGUCCAGGCUUCCACGCCGGUACCAAUAAAGCUACCUCUCCGUCGAUCAUUUCUGCUAUUCUCGUCACCUCGUGGUCGGUUAUAUCUAACUCUUGAACCAUCUCGGUUGCCACGCUCAGUGCGGUGUCCGCUUCAAUAUCGAAGGGGAAGUAGAUGUUUCGAACACGGCCUGCGAAACAGAUUGUUGAGUUCCUUUAUCUGUUGAUUUUAGGGAGCCUGUUUGGGCUGGCUAGAGCUCGUAUAAAGCUGCCGCUCAAAACAAGCAUUACCAGCUUUUUCAUUAAAUUCUCCGUAACAGUUUUUUUUGUUUUCUCCAAAAGGAGCACAAGCUUCAGAUUGGAGUUUCCACUAUCUGGGCCCAAAAGCUUAUUUUAGCUUCCCGCCACAGCGAAAGCUCCAAAAAUUGUGUAAGCCAAAUUGCUAGUUUCCAAAGCUUCUGCACCCUGAAUUAGAGAAGCUGCUGUACAUUGGAGCUAGACCAAACAGGCACACACACAAUCAACUCAACAAAUGUUCUAGAAAGAAAACAUCAAUUAUACCGUCUUUGUCUGCGAUUCUUAGUCUCAGAAAAAUCCCUCCGUCUUCUCUUCUCUUUCCUUUAAUUGUGAUAUCUACAUUGGUGAGAGGCUCAUCCUCCUGGCCAUGGAAAAGGUCUAUCCCGUGGGCUUCUAUAUCCGCGUCGCUGUACUCCCAACCAUUCUCCAAAACUUCUUCUUCGUCAUGGGGUUCUUCGUCGUGGGGAUCUUCACAGAACCCGUGGCUCAUUAACGAGCCAUUACUAUGAGCAGAACUAACAUUAGGUUGCCUCACAAUACGAUCCCCGCAGCCAAAUUCUCCCUCCGAAGAGCACCAGCCGUUAUCGUCAGUUUGGAGAAACGGGUCUUUCAGAAGCUCUUUCGCCGGAAGCCGUUGGGAGGCCGUGGUCAAGCAUUUCUCGAUGAAUCGCCUCACCUCCGGGUCCUUAACUCUAUACAGAGCCUCGGGCUUAGUUCCCUGUAAGCAGAUUGCUAAUUUAGCCUAAACAAUUUAGACCGCAUAACGCUGCCAGGUCUUAAAGAUUUAAAAGAUGCGGGGCUCUUACGGAGAUAACUCUCUUGUAGAUCUGAGCCGGGUGCGUGCACUCACUGUACGGGUACUCAAAGGUGACCAUUUCUAAAACACACAUCCCAAAGGAGUAAAUGUCGACCAACUCAUUGUACUCCUCCUCGUAGACCUCCGGCGCCAUGAAUUCCGGCGUGCCUACGCAGUGGACUGCGUGGGACUUGCGGAGGAUGGCGGCGAGGCCGAGAUCGCCGAUCUUGACCUGCCCCUGAUUCCCAUUGAUGAAGAUGUUGUCGCACUUGAGAUCCCUGUGGAUAAUCGGGGGAUCGUGGCUGUGGAGAUAGAGAAGCCCACUCAGGAUCUGCCUACACCAAUGCUUCACAGCCCUGAUGUUAACCCUCCUGUGCCUCUGCCUAUACCUAUCCAUCCCCACAACAUCCAAGAUGUUAAUUAAAUAGAUCACACAAAUCAGAACAAGCUAGAUAGUAUUUUUAUUUUUAUUUUUAUUUUUAUUUUUAUUUUUUUAUCAAUCAAUGGAAAUUUUUCUUACUGUCUGAGAGUGCCAGAGGUGAACAUUUCUGUGACAAAAUUGAUGUUCCUGUUGGAGGUGUCCACCCAGGAGGUGUAGAACUUCAUGAUGUUCUUGUGCUUGAGGGUUUUGAGGAGGUGGAUCUCACAGUAGAGCCUCUCAAGGUCCUCAGGGCUCUGCAGGAAGUCAUACAGCUUCACCUGGUUCCAGGCAACCUCUAUCCCUUCAUACUCAUCAAAAGCCUUGUAACUGCCACCCAGUUUUUUCAGGUCAAAACACCACACACACACACACACACACACACACACACACACACACACACAACCCAUGUGAGAAACACUAAUGAAAAAGAAUUAAAUUUGCUCCAAAAAGAAUUACAGGAAUGAGGGGGGGAUCAUAACAUACACAGUCUUUGAAGCCCCCUUGCCAAGGAUCUCAUUGUACUGCACAAGACCAAAAAAAAAAAAUUAAUUAAUUAAUUAAAAAAAAAUCCAAAAUUGAUAUUGAGGUGAGUAGAAGAUGAGGGGGGAAAUGAAAUGAAAUGAAAUGAAAAAGAAAGGGAUUGUGGUGCACAAGACAUACCCUGCCAUAUCUUCCUGUGGGAUCAACCUCAACAAAUUCUGGGUAAUCUGGUGAAUCCUUGGCCUCAGCACACUUCAUUGUUUUUUUCUUUUUCUUUUUCUUUUUCUUUUUUUUUUCCCCUUUUUCUCCUCCUUGUCAAAACAGUGUCUCUCUAUAUGGUCCUUGUUAAAUGGACCAUGAGAUGAUAAAAGAGUCUUGCUAUAUGUAGGAACAGUGAGAAAAAAAAAAAGAAAAAAAAUCAAGCAAAAGAGUAGAUAAGGGUUGAGGAGAAGUUGUAGUGUGUUGUGGGGAUGUUUAGUUUGGAUAUAAUAUAUGGAGUGGAGGGGGGAGAGGAAGGAGAACAUGGGCUUGGGGAGUUUUCACCAAACAAGGACAAAGGUUUUCCAACUCAGCUACAAGGCUGAUUCAUUAGUUUUUCUUUUUGGUUCUGUUUUAUUAUUUUAGUUUUAUUUAUUUUAUUUUUUGCUUUCUUUCUCCUUAUUUAUUAGUUUUCUGAAAGGAUGAGAAGAGAGAGAUCAUGAGAUGUCUUUCCUAAAGGACAAAAAGGAACAGAUGGAAGGUCCUAUUUUUCAGUUUUUAUAUCCUCCUAAUGCUUACUACUGCUACUUUGGAUUGGAUGAACUCCCAACUUUUUUUUCUUUUGUUUUUUUUUUUUCCUUCUUCUCUCGCCUCAUUUAUUUCCACCUAGGAAUGUCGAUGAAUAUAGAUACAUAAAAUUUUAUCCGAAUCUAAAUCCGUAUAAAACGGAUAUAUCCGACGCUAAAUGAAUAUGAAUUCGAAUAUAAAUAUUAAAAAUAAAAAUUCGACGGAUAUGGAUUCAGAUAUAAAUUUUGAUUGUAUCCGACAGAAACCCGAAUUUAUUUUAUAUUAUAAAUAAUAUAUAUAUUAAAAUUUGAUGUAUUUGAAUUUGUAUUUUAAAAAUUUAGAUUUAAUAUAAUAUAUUUUGAAAUAUUAAAAAAAGAAAUAAGUGUUUCGGGUUCAAAUUUUCGGAUUCGUGUUCAGAUUUCGGAUUUUUUGUCCGAUUCGAAUUUGGAUUUAGAUUUUUAAAAUCCGUCGGGUUCGGGUUUGGGUUCGGAUUCAGAUUUUAAAAAAUCCGUCCCGAAUCCGACCAGUUGACAUCUCUAUUUCCACCCUUUAACUCUCCCCCAAACACCCCAAAUAUUAACUCUCUCUCUCUCUCACUUAUAAAAAAAGAAAAAUUUAGAGUGCACCGUUUAUACUGUUAAUAUGACUCCUGAUAUAAUAUUUUUUUACCCAUCUAAGUAUUUCUUAGAAGUCAUCUGUCCCAUUAUAAUUAUUAAAAAAUAUUUUUAUUACAUUUUUUUUAAAAUAAAAAAAUAUAAUUAAUCAAUUAUAAAGAGAUCCCUUCAAUUUAUAAGGGCCAAUUUGCAUAAAAAAUCCACUAAUUUUGGGCUUUUGCAAAAGUGGACCACUUUUUUGGAUUUUGCAGAUUCGGACCGAAAUUUCAGCAAACUGACGAAAAUACUCUUAUUACUUUUUCUCUCUCCUCUUUCUUUUUCUCUUGUUUUUUUUUCCUCUCUCCGAAGAAGGCAGCGGAGGCGGAGGCGGAAACAGUCCGUCUCGCCUCCGCCUCGCCUCCGCCCCGCACGCCCUCGCCCUUGCACUCCAGCCCUCCUCGCCUCCGACCCUGCUGAGGCCGCGUCGCCACCUUUCUUCUCCACUAGGGCACGGUGACGUCGAGACGCAGGCUCUUUUCCUCCACCGCGCGUCGGAACGCCGAAACGUCAUUGGAGGCGGUGAAAUCGCCUCCGAUGACGUCGCGAUGGUUGCGAUAGAAAGUAAGGAAGAGGUAGUGACAAAAAAAAAUUAUAGAAAAAAUAAAAAAAAAAAAUUUUUCCUACAGAAAAGAUCAAAACAUAUAGGAGAAGAAAGAAGAUGAUGAAAUUGCACUCUUAAAAAAAAUUACACUGUUUUAAAAAAAUUUGCACUGUUUUAAUGAAAAUUGCACUAUUUCAUAUAAAAAUUACACUAUUUUAAAAUAGAUUUUACACUCUUUAGGCCAAUAUUGCACCAUUCAGAAAAAUUUUGCACUAUUUCAUUUCUUUCUUUCUUUUUUCCUCUCUCUUCUUCUUCUUCUUCUUCUUCCUCCUGCGGGAGCAGCACCCCCCUUCUUCUUCUUCUUCCUGCAGGAGCAGCACCCACCCUGUAGGAGCACCUCCCCCGUCACCGCCGCCGCCGAGGAGGCUGCGGCGGCGACGCGGCGCAUGAUGUCGGCGCCGCCCAAAAAAAAAAAAAGAAAAGGAAAGAAAAGGGUAAGUUGGUUAGUAACCGGCGAUGAUGUUGGCGCCGCCGCUGAUGAACUUGGAGACGCUGUGUAUGACGACGUCGGGGCGGAGUCGCGCGGGGGAGACCACCAUGGCUGUGAGGUGUUGCCAUACCAGCAGGGGGUUGGUUCGGACGCGUGGUGUCUCCCUCAGGGUGUGUUGUUUUUUGGGUGGUGUGGAUCGCGGUAGCGCGAACGGUGGGGGGGGUCCGGCGACGGGGCGGGGGCUGGGUGGGGCCAGCGUGUGGGUCGACAUUCGUCUCCACGUAGAAUCAUCGUUCCAAUAAUAUAAUAACAACACGUUAAUUAAUUUCACAACUUAAACUAUUAGAGAAAAGCGUGGGAUACAAUUAAUUAUACAAUUGUAUAGGGGGUGGUGUUUUAUAAUAUUAUAGUUGUGUGUUUAUUAGUGUAGUGAAUAGGAUACUUUUUAUGGUGGUUGAUAGUGAUGUAAUUAAUAUAAUGAGAAUUGAUGAUCUCGGUGUCACCCUCAUGGACGGCGGCGCGGACGGCGUGGGUGUCGUUGGCGUCGACGAAGGUGGCGCGGAUGUUGCAGGCGCGGGAGAGGAGGACGUGGGUGCCGCCGUAGAGCCACUUGGAGGCGACGACGUGGCCACCGGCGCUGACGAGCUGGAGCAGGACGGCGGCGAUGGCAGACAUGCCGGAGGUGGUGCAGUAGGCGGCCUCGGUGCCCUCGAGCACGGCCAUCAGCCGGCCCAGGUUGAGCACGGUGCGGGGGCUGUUUGUGCUGUGCCUGGCGAAGGAGAACAACGCACGCGCGAUCGCGGCUGGGGCGGCGGCCGCGCUCAUGCGCCGCGUCGCCGCAGCGGCUGUAAUAUACCGAAAAUUCAGAAAAUAAAUAUCGAACUUUAGUCAAAUUGACAAAAGUGCGAGGAUGGUACACUUCGGAAAGUCCGAAGGUGUUAAAAUGAUCAAAAGUGAGUUACGGGAGGUUUUCGAGAGCUAAAGGAUCAAAAUCUGUAUUUUGCAGUUUUGAGCUCUUGGGGACCGGUUCCUGGAGGGAGAGACCGGUCCUCGAACGCGUAUGAAUUGAGACAGCCGAAAAAUCGGCUAAGUCUUGGAAAACUAGCUCUCGGGAACCGGUCCCUGCCUGAGAGACCGGUCCCCGAGAGACCGGUCCCACCAGAGAGAGACCGGUCGCAUCGCACGCAGCAGCUCUGGCUGCGCAGGGUGGACCUUCGGGAACCGGUCCCUGAUGGAGAGACCGGUCCCCGCCUGCGCGAACAGCCCAGUCCAGGCUGUGUGAAAGAGUAAAAGUUGAGGGGCUUGGCUGCAAUUUUGCAACCCAAUGGUUAUGUUAAGGGGGCUAAUGAGAUUUUCUCUCAUUUCCUCACCUUCUCACACUCUCUUCUCUCUCCCUCUCUCUCUAGAAGGCAAAGGAGAAGAAGAAGAAAGAAAGGAAGGAAGGAAAAGAAGGAAAAGAAGGUGAAGAAGAAGAUCAAGUAGUGAGCCUACCUCUUCUUCUUCCUCCGUGGAGCAUCUUAGGGAAAGCUUUGAGGUAAGCUUUGAUCUCUAGUAUAGUAAAACCCUAGAAUGAGUUUUGAAUGACCUAGAAAUGGGUUUUAAUGGAUUAUUUAGAGUCUUUGAAGCUUUCUUUUUGCUUCUUUAGAGUUCAAAACCACGGUUUAGCUUGAGGUGAGCUUUGGCCACCUCUAAUGGUGAAAUCCAAACUAGGGUUUGGAGUGAAAUAAGAAUGGUUUUAAUGAACUCUUUAGAGUAGAAUGAAGCUACUUUUGCUUCUCUUUGAGAUCAAACCCUAAGUUUGAUGAAUGCUAUGGAGCUAGGGCACCCAAAUUGGGGCUUUUGCUCAUGGGGGUUCCUAAGUGAAAUUGACCCUUUAGAAACCUAAUUGGGAGUAUUUCUGACGCGUUGGUGCGCUCGGAUUAAUGUUACGAAAAGCCAAUGUAAAGAUAUGAGCAAAAUGGCCUAAUAGGGCUUCGUUUUGCCGCAGGUAAAGAACGAGAAGCCUAAAAAUCUCAAGAAAAUUAUCGGAGCACCUUUGAAAGCCUACGAGGUGGGUGGUGCUUCUCAAACUCGUUGAACUUCCCUCUAUGCCUAAUGUGUCAUUCAUUUGAGCAUAUGUAUAUACAUUGUUGCAUGCAUUUUAGGGUAAAGUAAUGAUAAAAAUAUGAUGUUUCAUGAUUGUGAGUACAACUUGCAUAAUAUGAUGAAUGAGAACUAUGUGAACGUCGAAAACCCUAUGUGUAUGCAUGAGAGAAAAGUGAGCACCCAAAGUGAGCAAAAGAACAGAGUGACACAAUGACAUAGAUCGAGUGGCAUUCGAUAAAGUUAAAGUGAAAUGACACUAGAGAUAGUGUGAGGUAAAGGACCAGUGUAUUGUAAAGAAUGGUGAAAAUGACAAUAUUUAAAGUUAAAGUAAUAUGGGGAGUAAAGAACAUGAAGUGCUAGAGGUAGCCAAAAGUAAAGAAUGUAAAGAAUAUGAUUGCUAGAGUUAGCAAGAGUAAUGAAUAGUAAAGAACAAUGAUUGCUAGAGUGGCAACAAAAAGUGAUGAAAGAACACUAGAGCUAGUGUAAAGUCAAGAUUAAACUUAUAAAUCCUUUGAGUUAAGGAUAUGAUCAUACUUGCUAUGAGUUCCGUGCUCGAGGGCGGUCGCUCCCCCUCGGGCGAUGCGCUCCGGAGUUAUGCAUCACGGGUUGGAGUAAACCCGAAGGACGGUUCUAGCGAGUGAGUUCCUGCGAUGAUGGACUUAAUGUGAAGCAAGCUAAUAUGGCAAAACCCCCGGGUUAGCCUUGAGAUUAAAGAACAAAGAGUAAAAAACAAAGAACAAAGAAUAAAGAGUAAAGACAAAGAAUGAAAGAACUUGCAUAAUUUGCAUAUGUUUAAUGUUGAGCAUAUUUCCUGCUUAUUGUUCAGGCAUAUUAGCAUCAUGUUAUAGAUUGGUUACUAUAUACAGCUUAUCCUUUCUAUUAUGCCUGAGUUAGUCCUAGUGGGAAAGUCGGUGAUAUUGAGGCCGAACCUACUGGAAACUUUGUUGUGGUUCUCACCCCAUUAUUUCCACAGAGCCCGGACCGAGCGAGCCGGCGAGCGACCGAGGUAAAGGAAUCGCGUCUUAGUCAGAGGCCACCAGAGUUGGAUUUAUCUUUUGUAGUAAAUUACCCUUUGAUCAUCUUUUGUAUUUGAUGAUAAAAGAUGUAAAGAAAAGAAUGUAAUGUGUAUUUUGAGGUAAAUGUGAUGUAAGAAGGAAAUGAUGAAAUGAAAUGUAAGGAAUUCGAAAAUGUAGAAGAUGAAUGCAAUGUAUAUGAUAAAAAAUAAAUCAUAGUACAAGUGAAUGUUUAGUUUCCUUUUUCUUUCACUCGUGACUAUUGCUUACCCUCGUGUAAGCCGUAUUUGUAUAUUUCCGCUAGUGUACUUUUUGUUUGAAAAUGUACAUGUGAUGAGCCUUGGGCGGACAGGAAAAACUCUGUCCGUUCGGCGUCUGUUUGACGUGCUCGGGCCCGCCCAAAUUGGUAUCGGUCCUGGGGCGUGACAGCGGCCUCCUCGGCGGCGGCAGCGGCGGGGGAGGUGCUCCUACAGGGUGGGUGCUGCUCCUGCAGGAAGAAGAAGAAGAAGGGUGGGUGCUGCUCCGGCAGGAGGAAGAAGAAGAAGAAGAAGAAGAAGAAGAAGAAAAGGAGAAGAGGAAAAAAAAAGAAAGAAAUGAAAUAGUGCAAAAUUUUUCUAAAUGGUGCAAUAUUGGCCUAAAGAGUGUAAAGUUAUUUUAAAAGAGUGUAAUUUUUAUAUGAAAUAGUAUAAUUUUUAUUAAAACAGUGCAAAUUUUUUUAAAACAGUGUAAUUUUUUUUAAGAGUGCAAUUUCAUCAUUUUCUUUCUUCUCCUAUAUUUUUUGAUCUUUUCUGUAGAAAAAUAAGUUUUAUUUUUUUUAUUCUUAUGUUUUUAUAAUUUUUUUUUUUAUCACCACCUCUCCUUUGCCUUUUAUCGCAACCAUCGCGACGUCGUCGGAGGCGAUCUCGCCGCCUCCGACGACGUCUCGGCGUUCCGACGUGCGGUGGAGGAGAAGAGCCUGCGUCUCGACGUCGCCGUACCCUAAUGUAGAAGAAGGGUGGCGAUGCGACCUCAGCAGGGUCAUAGGCGAGGAGGGCUGGAGUGCACGGGCGAGGGCGUGCAGGGCGGAGGCGAGGCGGGCUGUUUCCGCCUCCGCUGCCUUCUUCAGAGAGAGGAAAAAAAGAACGAGAGAAAAAGAAAGAGGAGAGAGAAAAAGUAAUAAGGGUAUUUUCGUCAGUUUGCUGAAAUUUCGGUCCGAAUCUACAAAAUCCAAAAAAGUGGUCUACUUUCGCAAAAGAAUAAAAUUAGUGGAUUUUUUAUGCAAAUUGGCCAUUUAUAAGGAAGAUUCCUUCAGCUUAUUAUUAUUUUUUCCUUAUCCUUUUUUCACCACCGCCUCUCUCUCUCUCUCUCUCUCUCUCUCUCUCUCUCUCUCUCUCUCUCUCUCUCUCUCUCUCUGUGAAAGUGUACGGAAACUCAAUGGAUCCUCUAGUUUUAUUUUUCCGUUACACCUUUAAUAUUAAAGAUUUUUUUUAAAAUAAUGUGAUUUCAGCAAAGUUCGUAAUUAUUUUUAGAAAAAAAAACAAAGUAAUAAUUUAUGACUAAUAUUCAAUAAAGUUAUUAAAUUUGAUAACAUUUUUAUUUAUUAACUUGAAUAAUUCAAAGAAAAUUUAAAAGAAAUCAAAGAAAAUGUUGGCAACCGAAAAAUGGAGAAGUUGAAGGAGCUUUUUCAAAAUUUUGUAUAUUUGAGGGGGUCCUCAACAAAAUUUGAGCCUUUUAUUCCCAGAGAAAUGCGAAGGGCGAAUUUCCAUAAAAAAGUAAGUAACACUAUACGUACAAGUACAACCCGACCUUAGCUCAUUUAAUGGCCCCUUUUCUUCUUUUUUUUUUUUUUUUUUUUUUUUUGGGUAAACUUCAAAUAUUCUUGUGGUUUCACACUUUCUCACUUUAGUACUCUACAGUGUGUAUCAAGUUAGCUUCUGUGGUUUCACACUUUCUCAUUUUAAUAUCUUGCGGUUUAAAGUGUAUCAAGUUAGUACUCUGUGGUUUUGUUUUUCUCUUUUUAUUAUCUAUUUCACUAAUUUGACAAAGUUAAAACUAAAGGGUACUAAAGUAAAUAUUUGAUAAACCUAGGUAGGGUAUCUGAAGUUUUUGUAUACAAUUUAACAAAAUAUUAACAGAUGAGCCGACGAAAAGAGAAAAAUGAAAGCACACGGUACUAAAUUGAUGCACUUUAAAUCACAGGGUAUUAAAAUAAGAAAGUGCGAAACCACGUGGUACUAAAUUGAUACACGUUAAACUACAGAGUACUAAAGUGAAAAAGUGCGAAACCGCAGGGAUGGUAUUUAAAUUUUUUUCUUUUUUUUAACUAAAAUCUAGAAAGGGCUUUGGAUUAUAGAUUUAGUAUUUUUCUAAAAAAAUUAUUGAAUUUACGCUUUUGCAAAAUGGAACUUUUGCUCGGAUUUUAUAAAUUCAGCUCAAAUUUUUAAAAAUAUGAGCAAAAUGACUCUCUCCUUUCUUUCUCUCAUCUCUUUCAAUGAUGUUAUUGCCGUCCCUUUCCUCUCCCCCUCUUCUCCACCGCCAUCAUUUCCCAUCCUCUUUCUUCUCCUACUCCUCUACUCCUCUACCUGCUGUCCCUUUCCUCUCCCCCUCUUCUCCACCGCCAUCAUUUCGCAUCCUCUUCCUUCUCCUACUCCUCUACUCCUUUACCUGUCGUCGCAGAUUCGGGAAGUGGACGUGCAGGCACCGAUCUCAGAGUGUUUAAGUGAGGCAGACAUCGAGGAGGCUAAGAUUGUGACAACAACGAUGAUGUGCAGGUGGCGGAGGACCGGGGGAAAGAAAAUGGGCGUCAAUGUCGUACUCCUUUUAUUUUCUCCUUUUUCUUUAUUCUUCUUAUUAAAGAAAAAAAUAUAUUUCACUAUUUGACUAUAUAUUAUACAAGUUAAUAAGUGUAUCAGGCUGUACAAUAGUACAAUGUGAUGUCAAAUAGUGCAACAUUUAAAAAAUAUUGCACUGUUUAAUUAUAUAUACUAUUUGAUAAUAAGUUAUAUUAUUUUUUUAAUAUGUUUUACUUGUUAAAUAGAACAACAUAUAAUCAAAUAGCGUAAUAUAUUUUUCUUUAAUGGAGAGAGAACGAACACAAAAAUAGAAGAAGAAUAUUUUUAUUUUUAUUUUACUGUCAUACUCAUUCCUCUCCUUCCUUCCUCUUUCUCUAGAAGGAGGGAUGCGGAAGACGAAGAUGCCGACGACGACAACAUGGAAGGAGAUGAAAGGGAGAAGAGAAAGGGACACGAGAAGGAAAGGAGAGGAAUAGAGAUAUAUUUUUGACCAGUUUUGCAAAAUUCAAUCCUAAUUUCUAAAGUUAAAAAAAGGUUCGAUUUUGUAAAAAUAUAAAAUUAUUAAAUUUUUUUUAAUAAAAAAGGCAAUACUAAGUUUACAAUCCAAAGUAAUUCUCAUUCUUUGCCCUAAUAAAGAAAUUGUUGCCUGCAUUUUAUAUAUACGUCCUUAUAAAUGUUUGUACAUUUCUCCCUGCAUUUAUGCUUUUAGUACGGUUAUUAAAAUUUUAAAUAUUGUGCAGAUAAAACUUGUAAAUAUUUUUAAAAAAUAUUUAACUUAUUAUUGUCUUCUUCUACUCUCACUUUUCUAGAGUUUGAUUCUAAAAUUGUCAACAACCAUUGGCCCCAUGAUUAUAACUCGAGAUAUUGCCUGUGAGUUUCGUGGUUCGAUCCCUAUCAUUUACUAAUUUCCAAAAAAAAUGUCAACUUGCUCCUUAAAUUAAUAAAUAAAUAUGCACAAGAUAAUAAUAAUAAUAAUAAUAAUAAUAAGAGAAAUGAUUCGGUACUUUAUUAUUAAAAAAAUAAAUAGAUCUUAACCGUUGAUUAAUAGAGGGUAAAUAUGUAAUUUUAACAUUUAGCUAAAGGGUUACAUCAUGCGAGGUUAUUUUGGUAAUUAAACUAUACAAUAUUUAAAGAAACUUUUAAUUGAUAUUCUAAAUUUAUGAAUUAAUUUGCGCUAAUUUGAAAAAUUGAUUGAUUACCCUAAUUUAGACAUUAAUUAGGCAUUAAUUUACGCAUUUACUUUAGAAAUUUAGGUGAUUCUAAAAUUUAGGCAUUAUUUUAAAUUAUAGAAAUUUUAGAAAUAGUUCUAUUUCUAAAUACAUUGAAUUUAAAUAUUAAAUAUUAAAUAUUUAAAUUAAAAAAUUAAAAUUUAAGUUAGAGGAAUUUUGUAUUAUUAUUUAAAAAAUUUGUAAUGUUGAUAAAUAUUUUAAUUCAACAUACUUAAUAUGUUUAAGAAAUUUUUAAAUUUUCAAUAGUUUAGACAUUAAUUUUGUAUCACUUAUCUUAAAAAAAUUGAAUGUAGGUAAAAAUUAUAAAUUAAUGUAUUUAUACGUUAAAGAAACUUUAGAAUGUUCUAUUUAGACAUUAUUUUUGUAUAUUAUUUAAAAAAUUUGUAAUGUUGGUAAAUAUUAAAUUUAACAUAUUUUUAUAUGUUUAACAAAAAUUAUGAAUUUCAUGUUAGUCAUUAAUUAUUGUCAUUUACUAAUUUUAAAAAAUUAGAAUGGUGGGCAAAUAUUUAAUGCAACAUAUUUAAUAUGUUUAAAAAAAUUUAAGAAUUUUUAUAAUUUAGAUAUUAUUCUUUAUCACUAUUUAAAAAUUUAAUGUGGAUAAUUGAUUAGAAAUAUAGGUAUAAUUCAAAUUUUUCUUUAGGAAAUAGAAUUGUAUGGACCAAAAUUAUUCAAAUUUUUAUAAUAAUAAAUUGAUCUUUUAAAAUAAUAAGAAUCAUAUAUUGUAAUUUAAAAUAUAAGCUGAAACAAAUAAAAUUGAAGUUUAGAACCUAAAAAGUAAAUAGAAACCUCCGUUAAUUUUAAAUGAUGUAGUGCAAUUUAAACUUACCAAUAAAUAGAUUUAGACUGUAUAUUUAAAUUUUAACUUAUAAUAAAUCUUAGAUUUUACUAGAGUUAACAAAAUUAGAAUAUAGAUAAUUAAUAAAUUUAUAUUAAACAAAUCUUAGGAUAUUUGUAUAUUUUAUUAAUUUGAUCAGGCUCAAUAGUUUAGACAUUAAUUUUGUAUCACUUAUCUAAAAAAUUGAAUGUACGGUAAAAAUUAUAAAUUAAUGUAUUUAAUACGUUAAAAGAAACUUAGAAUGUUCUAUUUAGACAUUAUUUUUGUAUCAUUAUUUAAAAAAUUUGUAAUGUUGGAAAUAUUAAAUUUAACAUAUUUUUAUAUGUUUAACAAAAAUUAUGAAUUCAUGUUAGUCAUUAAUUUUGUAUUACUAAUUUUAAAAAAUUAGAAUGGUGGGCAAAUAUUUAAUGCAACAUAUUUAAUAUGUUUAAAAAAAUUUAAGAAUUUUUAUAAUUUAGAUAUUAAUUUUUAUCACUAUUUAAAAAUUUAAUGUGGAUAAUUGAUUAGAAAUAUAGGUAUAAUUCAAAUUUUUUGUUAGGAAAUAGAAUUGUAUGGACCAAAAUUAAUUUCAAAUUUUUAUAAUAAAAAUUGAUCUUUUAAAAUAAUAAGAAUCAUAUAUUGUAAUUUAAAAUAUAAGCUGAAACAAAUAAAAUUGAAGUUUAGAACCUAAAAAGUAAAUAGAAACCUCCGAUAAUUUAAAUGAUGUAGUGCAAUUUAAACUUACCAAUAAAUAGAUUUAGACUGAUAUAUUUAAAUUUUAACUUAUAAUAAAUCUUAGAUUUUACUAGAGUUAACAAAUUAGAAUAUAGAUAAUUAAUAAAUUUUAUAUUAAACAAAUCUUAGGAUAUUUGUAUAUUUUAUUAAUUUUGAUCAGGCCAUUAAUUUGUUUAUUAAAUUGAUUUUUGACUCUUAUCUUUAAAUUUUUUAAUUUUUAUUUGAUUUUUAAAUUUUUAGUUUGUUACCUUUUAGUUUACAAUUAGCUUAUUAACUUUUAUUAUUAUGUUUAUUAAAUUAGUAUUAAUGAUUUAAAAAUCAGAUUGAACGAUUGAUUUGACUGAUCAGACUUUAACUAUUUUAUCAAAGAUUUGAUUUCAACCUAUUAUAACUGAAUAAAAUUAAGAACAAUCUGGAACAUAAAGAUAAUAGCGUUUUAAACAGAAUGACAUUUAACUGUUAGAGUUAAUAAAUAUUUUAACUAAUUUUAAAUAUAAAAAUUAAAAAGAUUAGAAUUACUAUCAGAAACAAAAGGAUUAGGAAUUUGAAUUCGAAAUGCGACAAACAAUUGCAAAAUCUAUUUCUGAACUUGAUGUUAGGGUUGUAAAUGAGCCGAACGCCGAACGAGCCGAAGCCAGCUAUUGUUCGGCUUGUUUAGUAAACGAGCCGAACAACGAUAGUCGUUAAAGUAUCAACCGAAAAAUUUCAGUGUUCCUGUUAUAACACAGCCGAACACGAGCUGGCUCACGAGCUGGCCAACGAAUAUAUAAGUUAAAGGAUUAGAUUGAAUAUAUAAAAAAUAAAUAUAUAAAAUUUUAUCCAUUAAAUUUUGAUCUAAUAUUUGAAACUUUACAUAUAAAUGAGUCUUUUUAUAAUGAAGCUCGCCUUUAUAUUUUUAUUUUACUAAAAAUUAAAUAAUAAAAAUAUAUUAUAUAUAUAUAUAUAAUUAUUUAUUUAUAUAUAAAUAUAAAUUAUAUAAAUAUAAAAUAUAUGUAUUCUAGCUGUUAUCUAGCCGAACACGAGCGAGCUGACCUCAGCUUGUGUUCGACUCGUUUAUUAAACGAGCCGAAAAAUUCAGCUCGUGUUUGGCUUAUUUACUAAAUGAGCGAUUUGAUCUUGAGCUCAUUUCGAACCGAACACGAGCUGGCUCGCGAACAGCAAGCUGAAUUGCCACCCCUACUCGACGUAUUUCAAAAACUCAUAUCUAAACCCGAAACUGACCAAUUUUCUGAAACCGAAAACCGAAUCCAAACUCGAAGACCGGAACCUUAAACAAUUAUUUCUCUUUACCAUAUUUCAAAAUAUUUUAUAUUAAAUUUAAAAUUUUAAAAUAUAAAUUCGAAUAUAAUAUUAAACUUUAUAUAUGAUUCGGGUUGGAUUCAAAAUGGAUAUAGACAAAUUUCAUAGUUGGUCCACAAAGUAAUCUCACAUUCUUGUUGUCAAAUAAUUUGAAACUUUUCUUACAUGAAAUGCCAAAAUAUGAGAGGAAAGAUAGAGAGAAAAAAGAGAAAGAAAGAGAGAAUAAAAAUUUUGAUAAUAUAGUAGAGAUAAAAUGACUAAAUUGCUCAUGUAUUAAAAGACAAAAAUAUCAUUUUCGAGGUAUCUGGUAACCGAUACCUCUCCCAAAGUGACCUGCUAUUGUAGGUCACAAUUUUAAGAAAAUUAAAUCUGAACUGUUGAAUGUGAGUGAAUGAACGGUAAUGGAAGAAAAAAAAGUAUAAAAGUAUUACUCUAAUAAUAAUACCUAUACAACUAAGUAUUUAAAAAAAAAUUAAAAAUUGAAUAUAAAAAAAGAAGAUAAAACUAAUGAGAAAAUAUUUUUUUUAUUUUUUAUUUUAUUUUUUUUUGAGAGAUAGGUAGCAUGCUAUCCACUUCGUUUAUUUUAUUUAGAGAUAAUCUUAGCCGAAAAUGUGAAUCAACAAGGAUUCGAACUGCCUUUUGCCACUUGUGUUAGUGAUCGUCGGUACUAAUGAGAAAAUAUUAACCUGGAGAAUGUAAGAUUUAUAUUCACUUUUUAAAUCAACUUACUGAUAGUAUUUUCUAAAUAAAAAUAGAAGAAUAUAAUCAAAUUUCAAAGAGAGGAGGGUGGGUUAUUCACAAUUUACACUCUAGGGCGUAUUUGGUUUGCCUAUUUUUUUUAUCCUAAAAUCGAAAUCAGAAUCGGAAUGGACGAAUCCGUUUGUCCGUAUUUGAUAUGCGGGAUUUUCAUUCCGAUUCCGAUUUCGGGGUAUGAUAUGCGAAAAUUUCAUUCCGAUUCCGAUUUCGGGGUGAAUAGAAAUCCCUCAAUUAUUCUUUUUUUCAAUCCAGCCUAUAAGGCCAGAUUGAAAAUUAAAUCGGGGGAAUGAAUUUAUUCGUAGUAAAUUUAACUUUUUUAAACUUAUUUUUUAAUUAAAAAUAUAAGUUUAACCUUAAAAAUUAUAUUUAUAAAUUUAAAUUUAAAUUUGAACUUAAAUUAAAAAAUAAAAUUCAAUCAAGCAUUUCGAAUUUAAUUUAUAAAUUUAAAUUAAAUUUAUGCAUUCAAAUUGAAAUUGAAAUUAUAAUUUUAAGUUUGAAUUCGAAUAAAUUGAAAUUUAUUUUUAUAUUUUGAAUUAAAAUAUCCGUUCAAUUUCAAAUUUAAUUUUUUUAAAAAAUAUAUUUAAAAUUUUGACAUAAAUUUUUAAUAUUUAAUUUAUAGUUUGAAUUUAAACUAAUAUAUUAUAAAGAUAAAAUUGGUAUAUUAAUUUGAUUACGUUUUUUAUAUCUAUCUGAAUCAAACACCAACAAUGAUAAUAAUUCAUUCUGAUUUCGAUUCAGGUGGCGAACCAAAUAAAAUGAGAUAAUGAAUUAUUUCGAUUUCGUUUCCCGUUUAUUUUCAUUCCGAUUCCGAUACCGAUUUUAUUUUCGAACCAAACUUCAAGUGUACAGAUAGUGUUGCUCGUAAAAAUGAGCUUUUUUUUGUUAACAAACUUAACAUAUAUUGUAAUUAUAAAUAUAGUAUUUUUUUAAAAAAAAUAUUUUUAAAAUUAGUUUCUAUGUAGUGAAUCGUUUAUUAUUUUCUUCAAAAUAUUAAAAUAAUUUUUAAUAUUUAAUAUUAUAUAUUUUUUAGAGUUUCGAUACGAAAAACAUAUAAGUUGGUAAAUAGGGCGAAUAAUUUAUUGAUGUUAGAUAGCCAUAAGCUAGAUAUAAUUUUUCAAAUAAAAAUAUUAAAAGCCUAGUUUUAGAAUUUGAAAAAUUUAGAAAUCUAGUCGUCGGAAACCCCGCAAAAAUAUCCUCUGACAUUUUGCAUGUGCUGACGACGGGAAAGAAAAAGAAAUCUAAAAUUCCCCCACCACAGAUUCAAGGCAUUGGCUACGGAGCCACAGGUUACAUUCAUUCGUACUCAUGAAAGCAGCCUAUUUUUAUCUCUCUCCAAAAAAAAAAAAGCCGCCUAUUUUUUCUGGUUCUUAAAGGAACCGGGAAAAAAAAAAAAAACAUUUCUGAUACAAGCAUUAGCAUAAAUUAAAUAGAGUUAAAUACAUAUAGAUGUAGUAUUUCUGGUGUUUGGUUGUCUGUGAGAUUUCAACAUUUGAGACUUGGCGACACAUCUGGAGAGUAUCGAGACAAGUCGGAGUCGUUUUGGCACGAAAUGGAUACAAAACAGACUCGACGAGAGGCGAGAGUGGAGUUUUGAUGCUAAAAUCUGCAAAGUGCAGGAUUUUAGUGUUGAGUACUGGUACGGCAUCGAGUUGGUAUCGGUAUCCUGUGUGCGAGCUUGCGGUUGCGAGGCCGAGUACCGGUAACCAAAUCGGGUACCGGUACUCCAGCUAGCUUUUGAGUUGGUAAAGGGCAUUGUUGUCUUUUUUUUUUUUGUUAGUGGUUAUCCAUGCCACCUACUCUCCCUAUAAUUAUCCACCUGAGAAAGAGAGUAUUUUUUUUUCAUGUUCCGCUCUUUCUAGAUUUGAUUGUGUUCGAGGGAGAUCGUGACUCAAGCUUGGGAGAUUUUCGACGUCGAUUCAGAGGGCUGUUCGAGUGUGCGUGCGUCGCUGUUGCGUCGUUGGAGGCCGGGCGAGCGCGUGAUUUCCCCUCAUUUCGACUUCUCGCCGUGGUUGGACGUGCUUUUCGAGGUGGGUUGAAGUUUACCGAAAUCGUCGAAAUAUUUUCUAAGUUUUAGCAUCGUCGACAUGUAUCAUUUGUGUAUUUCCUUGCUAGCACUCGAAUUCAUGGAUUAGUGUUAAAUCUGAAUUUGGAGUUAAGCUAGUUGUAUCAUUUUACAUAUUGAAUUUGAAAUUGACUUAGGAGAAAAUAUAUAGAUCCUACACUGUCAUUUCUGAAAAUUACCAGAUUUAGCUUUAGGAGCAGUCGUUCGAUUGUAUCUAUUAGUGCGAGAUGGAUACCCAGAUUAGUGUAGGAUGAGUUUACAUUCGUGCUGGGAUGUCGAGUUUAUUUUUACAGUAGUGUAUAGACUGUUUUAUACUGUCGGGUGCCGUCACGGUUGAUGUUGGACCCAGAUUUCUGUAUUUGCAUCAGAUUAUGCCAAGAGCACGUGUGCUUUGGUUGUUAGACCCAUUUGCUUUGAUUAUAGCUUGUGAGAGCCUGAUUGAGCUCGACAGAGACACGCUUGCAUACUCGGUUGGGUAUAGCGCCCACGAGUGCCACUCCGGAGUCGGGUUUUGUACGUUUGCAUUGAGGUCGUAGUGUCCGGUUUGGACUUGCUCUUCACCAAAUACCCAACGUAGUGGUGGUUGGUGUAGCUUCGACAUGCAGGACGGGUGCGUUCACAAUACCUAGUGAGAUUGAGUUAGAGAUUGCAUUUCUAUAUCUAUAGAUAGUGGUUAGCGAUAGUAUAGUGGCAUAUAGCUAUAGAGUUUACCAGCAUCCUUUACUAUCCUUGUGCAUACUUUUUAUAGACUUAGUGGGUGAGCCGUUGAGGUCGAUAGCGGUACCUAUUGAGGACUACUAUUUUUUUGCAGUAGUUCUCACACCCAGUUGUUGACCUCCUUUUUACAGAGCAUUCUUCUGCGGCUGCUACUGUUCCCGUUUCUGAUCGUGAAAAGGGAGUCGCGAGCUAGAUCCCUUCCAGCCUUGCUGUAGUACUAGUGGAAUACCUCCCACAGGUAGUUUUGGGGUUUUUGUACAUAAGGUCUUAUUAUCUAGGAACUCGCUGGAGCGAGUGGUGUAGUAGAUAAUUUGUAUGUACUUGAACCUUCGAGGUUAUAUAUUACUUUUCUAUUUAGCAGCUCUUUACCUUGUGGUUGUAGCUUGGAUUUUUUUACAGGUACAGCUAUCGCUUCGUAUACAGGGAAAUUUCUAUGUAUACGGCGGGUCUGUUGGCGUGCUUGGGGAAAUGUGUAAUCCGGUGCGUGACAGAUUAAGUUUGUAUUAGAGCUUAAUAUUAGGUCGUUCGAACCUAGAAACCUUAAGCUUGGCAAAUCUUAGGAAAGGUAAGACGCGAGAGGCGUGAUUUAUCGCGAAAGUCAGCGAUUGGAUUAUUUUAACUCCUCCUAGAGUGGAGUGAGUGGUUGAACGAGUGUCUGUUUUGGCCAAGAAAGUUAUGUCGGCUGCAGACAGCAUAAUUUUGAGGAGAAACAGGGGCGACCUUGUAACACACUGGACUUUUGCAAAUUGCGAGGUUCGAGUGUUUGAUCUGUAUUCCAAAUUUUUUCAGGUAUUCUGGAGGGUCGUUGACAGUGUUUCGACCUAUGGCUCGUAUCCCGAGAAUUGAGGUAUUUAAAGUAGCGCUAAGGUCAACAAAGUGGAGGACUUAGGCUGCUCUCUGGUUGCUGUCUGUAGGAUUGUGUAUCGGUACACCUUGAUGGUUGUAUCUACAGAAAGUGUACCGGUUACACCUUGAUGGUUGUACCGGUACACAUGUGGUAAAUAGCCAACUCGAGAGUUGGGUUUGUAUGUUCGGGGGAUUUGUACCGGUACACUUUUUCGUGUACCGGUACACUUUGAUAGAUUGCGAAAUGGCAGUUUUUCAGGGGCGUAUCUGUGACGCCCCGACUUCCCAGGGGGUCACCCAUCCUAGGACUACUCCUGUCCUAGCACGCUUAACUCUCUUAACCUCUUGGGCCUUACCACCACCCAAAAUGCUUAAGCCGGGUUAAGAGUUUAGCCCUAUUAUAUCUCAUAUAUAGGACUAUCUGGGGUCCCACAGUAUCUGCAUUGUGGCUUCUCUAUAUUAGCCCCCACGCCCAUUAGGGCCUCCCCUGAGCUGAGAACAGUGGAGAGCAAGGUAGGGUUCAUUCCCUCUUCUCCUCUUUGGUCUAUUCUUUCCUUUUUGCUUGGGAUUUAAGGUUUGAUCUCCUCUUUUGCUCCUUGGUGCUACUUCCUCCAUGAUGAAGGCUUGGAGCUUGGAUUUGGAGCUUGAUAGAAGAAAAAUUAUCACACCUAGUGGACUUUGAUCCUUGUUUGAAGCUCUUAAGAGGUUAGUCACUCGUUCUUUUCUCUAGAUUUCAAGCUUUGGUGGUUUAUUUGAGAUGAAACCCUAGAUUGGAAACUUAGGGUUGAUUUUGGGUAUUUUGGAAUUAGGGCAUUUGGAGCUUGAUUUCUUGGAUUAGAAUCCUCCUCUAGGUUGGAUUGGAAGGGUUCUAACUCUCUUUUAGAGUUUAAAAAGGAUUUUUCUUUACAAGAGGUGUAUUUUGCCCUUUUCUUGAGAUGCUUAAUGAUUGAGCUUACUAGUAUUCGUAACGUUCGUUUAACUCUCCUUUUAUUACCUUUAGGGUGUUAGGAGAAUAGUGGGCUACUUCGUUCGGCGAAACGAAGGAGGCUUAGCGGAGCUUCGGUGGGUUUGACCUCACCAAAAAUGAGAAAAUCUCAUUGUGUCGAUUUAAGUAUUAUAAAAUAAAAAAUCAUGCAUAUUCAUGUUAGAUAUAUUAUUUGUGAAUUUUAGAAUGCUUAAAAUGCUUAUGUUAUAUACAAUGCAUUUUUGUACCCCUAUGUAGUAGAGGGUUUAAUUUCAUGUUGGGCUUAUGCAUGUGAUUAGCAUUCUAGAUGUGACUCGAGAUCAUCUUCAUAUAAUGAGAAUGAUAAGUGUAAUGUACUAUUGGACAAAAUCCCAUGUUGGACAUCGGAACAAGUAUAAUGCCAUAAAGAGGCAUUACACUAGAAUGAUAUGUGAAUUAGUGAGCUAAUAUCAUAAAGCAACAUUGAGCUUGGGAUAUGUAUGAACCUAGUAAAUAAUGCCAUAAAGGGGAUUGGGAUUUGGAAUAUGCUUGAUCAUAGCAAUGCUCUAGUGUCAUAAAGAGGCAUUAGACUUAUUGAUUGUGGGAACUUCACAUUGAGAUGUAGAACUAGACCGAUGGGGUACUAGUGACUAUUACCAUGUUAGAGACAUGAUGAUUGGGUACUUGAGAUGAUGACUAUACUUGCUUGCCAUUUGUGCUCAUUCGCACAUGCUUGUGAGGGUCGCUCCCUACAAGCCGGCACUCCGGAGUUAGCCUACGUGACUUAUGCUCGCUCGUGCGGUAUCGAGAAGCCUACGGGGUCGGGAGGGAUAGACUCAUUCCUAGAGUGAAAAUGUUGGAGCUACCACCGGCACUUAGGCUGCACAAGGUGGACUACACUUGUGUAGGUCCUGAAACAAGAUUGAACAAUGACAUCAAUCCAUAAAUGAUAAUCACUACUAGAUAGGGUGUAGUAGUUGGAUUAUCUUGACAUGCUUAAUGCAUAGCUUUGGAUAUUUAAGACCUGUAGUAUACUUGGUAAUAACGCUCAUUGCAUUAUAGUAUACUUGCUUCCUAUGUGGGAUCAUAUUAGUUAUGUAUUGGACAUACUUGAUCAUAGUAGAAUGAAUGUACAACAUAUUGUCAUCAUAUUACUUGUGGCAUAGUAGUUUAGCAUUUAUACAUUCUUUCAUAUCUACAGUUUAUUACCGUUGCUUAACAUAUCUACCUUAUUUUGGGCCUAGUGGUGCAUUUUGCUAAGAUCAGUAAUUGCCCAUUGGGAACUAUAAAUUAUAGUUCUCACGCCCCCUGUUUGAUGUCUUUCUUACAGAGCCUUCCACCUCGGGAGAGGCUAGAGACCGCGGCAAAGGUGUCGCUUCGAGCUAGCAAGUGAGGGGUCUUGCUAGGUGUAUCAUCUUUUCCUUUUGUUUUUGUUGGAGAGAAUUAGAGCGUUUUGUUCCCCACAUAGAGACUACCAUUUUAUGAUGUUGUAGUACCUAUAUUGAGACUUUGAUGUAUCACUCUAUGUUUUAUAUUAGUCGAUAGUUUUUUUUUCCUCUACUUGUUGUUAGAAUUUAGCUGCUGUUUGCUCUGAUAUCUCUAGUUGUAUUACUUUUCCUUACUUUCAUAUCUCUAUUGUUGUAGACGCCUUAUAUGUGCAGGCAUAUGGCGGGUCUGGGCACGCACCGGGCGGGCCUAUGUCGGGUCCCGGAGCGUGACAGAUUAAUUUGGUAUCAGAGCCUAGGGUUGAGUCUUAGUGGACCUAGCAAACCUUAGGCCCGUUAGACUAUAGGAAAUAGGCUCGUGAGAGACGAGGUCUAUUUGAUUUGUAAGCGAAAGUAUUAUGAUUGGAUUUUAUUAUAACUCUAAAAAGUUGGAGUUUAAUUGGAGUGUUUAGCUUCUAACUUCGCGGAGGGCUACGUUGGCGGCCGACAACGUAACAUUGGGAGUUAGUAGUAGAAAACACUUCCUUACUUUCGCAUGAUUUGGGUACUUAUUGUUGAGGGGCUGUGAUAGCGUGGGUUUUAUUAACUUGCGCUUUAUGAUGUUGUAGUGAUAAUGUCGACGACACGCUCUAAGUCUGUUGGAGCGGACAAUGCGGCGAACCUUGAAGAGGUGAAGACCUCCGCUACCUUCGGAUCUGGUGAGGUCCAUGAGUUGAGGAGCCAGCUUGCGGCCCUACUGACUUGGUCGCGCAGUAGGCGGCGGCUGCUCAGCAGCAUGCAGUGCGGCGCGCCGGCAGGAGGCGCAGAUGGAGCGCCUAGAGGAAUUGCUCGUGCAGCAGGCGGCUGCUAGGGAGGCACAGGUGCCCACACCCCCACCCGCGCCGGCAGUGGUUGUGACACCGAGGCCGCUGUCUCCAGGGCCCGGUACUUUGAGGACAACACCGAUUGUUGCGCCCCGAGAGGAGGAGUUUGUGGCACCACCGGCUCAGGUGCCUUUGGCAGGGGCAGUUUUUCCCGUGAUGGUUGAGGGAGUCGAGCGAGAUCGACUCAUGGAUCGUCUCAACGAGUUUAUGAGGUGCAAUCCUUGGAUUUUUGAUGGAGAGAAGGUCGACCACUGGAUUAUAGAGAAGUGGUUGAUGCAUAUGAAGAAGCUUUUUCGCGACACCUUCGUGGAGGAGAGAGACCGGGUUUGGCUCGCCACUCAUCAUCUGGACGGCGAGGCCUAUAGUUGGUGGUUGGAUAUUCAGGAAAAUCCCAACACCGACCUGGCAGCGAUCACAUGGAGGAAGUUCAAAGAGCUUCUUCUGGCGCACUACUUCUCCGACAGUGUCAAGAGGAAGAUGGAGCAGGAUUUGCGCGGCUUGCGCCAGGAGGAUCGGAUUGUGGCCGAGUACGAGAGGGAGUUUUCUCGGCUUCUUCAUUGUGUGCCCUUUGUUGUACGGGACGACGAGGACAAGGCCCACAUUUUCGAGCGUGGAUUACGGCCUUUGAUCUUUCGGUUGGUGCAGUCCUCCAACCUUCAGACCUAUCGUGAUGUGGUGAACCGCGCGCUCAUCGUGGAGAGCGGCGUGGUGGACUUGCAGGAGCGUCGCGAAGGCAUGGACAAGGGGAAGGGCAAAAGGCCCGCGGCUGAGGGUGCGAGUCAGACGCACUUACGGAGGCUGCAGAGGUACCCCAGGAGCCGGAGCCAAUCGCUAGGACGUGGCUUGUCUACUCAGCGAGGAGGACCUGAUCGUCGCCAGGCUCGGUGCUGCGUGAUCUGCGGUGGUCCUCAUUUUCCACGGCAGUGUUCACGCAGUCGGGGCAGGUGCUACCUGUGUGGCCAGGAGGGCCAUUUCCAAUCGGACUGCCGGAGGGGUCCAGCGCCAGCGCCAUCAUAGGCAUCAGCACCAGCUUCACCAGAGGAGCUUUGCAAAACUUUUCGUACCCCUCACUCGAUUGACUCGAAAGGGAAUUAAGUUUAUCUGGAGUGAGGAUUGUCAGAGGAGCUUCGAUGAGUUGAGACCGAGGUUGAUGUCGGCUCCUAUCCUUGCCCUUCUAGUUAUGGGGGGAAGGAUUUGUGAUAUACAGUGAUGCAUCGCACAACGGGUUGGGUUGUGUUCUGAUGCAGUAUGGUAGGGUAAUUGCUUAUACUUUCUGGCAACUGAAGGAUUACGAGAAGAAUUACCCUACACAUGACUUUGAGCUUGCUGCAGUGAUUUUUGCUUUGAAGUUAUAGGGGCACUACUUGUAUGGCGAACGCUGCGAGAUUUUUACAAAUUAUAAAAGUCUUAAGUAUCUGUUCACCUAGAAGGAAUUGAAUUUGAGGCAACGCAGGUGGUUGGAGUUGUGAAAGAUUAUGAUAUCAGCAUCCAGUAUCAUCCCGGCAAAACGAAUGUGGUGGCAGAUGCGUUGAGCAGAAAAUCAGUGCAAAGCUUGAGCAUGAUGAUUACUUAGCAGAGGCCGUUACUUGAGGAAUUACAGCGGUUAAGGCUUGAGGUAGUGUCCCCUUAGUCUACUGUGAGACUGAUAUCUAUAGUCUUGCAGUCUACUAUGUUGGACAGGAUCAGGAAGAAACAGAGGGGAGACUCAUUUGAUAAAGAUUCGAGAGCUGAUAGAGAGGGGACAAGCAGAGGCUUUUUCUAUGUGGACAGUUCGGGAGUACUGCUGUGAGACCCCAGAUAGUCCUAUAUAUAAGAUAUAAUAUGGCUAAACUCUUAACCUGGCUUAAGCAUUUUGGGUGGUGGCUAGACCCAAGAGGUUAAGAGAGUUAAGCGUGCUAGGACGAGAGUAGUCCUAGGAUGGGUGACCCCCUGGAAAGUCGGGGCGUCACAACUGCGGUACAGGGACCGACUAUGUGUGCCUAUGGAUUCAGAAAUCAGAGAGGAGAUUUUGAGAGAGACUCACUUAGUUAUACAUGGAUGAGAUUGUGAGGUUACAUGAUGUACCUACCUCGAUAGUAUCGGAUCGAGACCCGAGGUUGUCUCGCAUUUCUAGAGGAGUCUUUAGAUGGCCUUGGGUACACAGCUAUGUUUCAGCAUAGCGUUUCACCCACAGAAAGAUGGUUAGUCAGAGCGGACCAUUCAGACUCUGGAGGACAUGUUAUGAGCAUAUGUCCUAGACUUUGGAGGAGGGUGGCAUUGAUAUUUGAGACUGGUUGAGUUUGCGUACAACAACAACUAUCGAAUGAGCUUUCGGAUGGCUCCAUUUGAAGCGUUGUAUGGACGCAGGGGUCGAUCCCCUUUGCAUUGGAGUGAUGUGGGUGAAAGGGAGACUCUGGAGCCUGAGAUUCUGAUGGAGUCAGAGAAAAAGAUUAAGGUGGUACGACGAUAUCUAUUGACCGCCCAGAGUCGACAGAGGAGCUACGCUGAUACCAGGAGACGAGACGUGGAGUUUUAGGUUGGAGAUUAUGUGUUUCUAAAAGUCUCGCCAUCCCAAGGGAUACGCAGAUUCGAAGUACAUGGAAAGCUCAGUCCACAUUUCGUAGGCCUUUUGAGGUAUUGGAGCGAGUCGGACUAGUAGCCUACAGGAUUGCUCUACCCCCAUGACUGGACGAUAUUCAUGAUGUUUUUCACGUCUCGACGUUGAGGAGAUAUGUGUUCGAUCCCUCACAUAUGAUCGACUUCACUUCACUGGAGCUUGGUGAGGAUUUGGGAUAUAAGGAGUGACCGGUGAGGAUUCUUGCUCGUGAGACGAAAAAAUUACGCAAUCAGAUCAUCCUUUAUGUAUAAGUGCAGUGGAGUAAUCACGAGAAGCGUGAGGCGACCUGGGAGCCGGAGACGGUGAUGUGGGAGUCCUACCCUUACUUGUUUGAGGCUUAGGAUUGAGGUAUGCGUUAAGUUUCGAGGACGAAACUUUUUGUAGUGGGGGAGGAUGUAGUAUCCCUGGUGUUUGGUUUCCUGUGAGAUUUCAGCAUCUGAGGCUUGUCAACACAUCUGGAGAGUGUCGAGACAAGCCGGAGUUGUUUUGGAGCGAAAUGGACGCAAAACGGACUCGACGCGAGAUGAGAGUGGAGUUUUGACGCUGAAAUCCGCAAAGUGCAGGAUUUAAGUGUUGAGUACCGGUACGGCAUUGAGUUGGUACCGGUACCCUGUGUGCGAGCUUGUGGGUGGCGAGGCUGAAUACCGGUAACCAAAUCGGGUACCGGUACUCCAACUCGCUUUUGAGUUGGUAAAGGGCAUUAUUGUCUUUUUUUGUUGGUGGUUAUCCAUGCCACCUACUCUCCCUAUAAUUAUCCACCUGAGAGAGAGAGGCUAUUUUUUUUCAUGUUCCUCUCACUCUCUAGAUUUGAUUGUGUUCGAGGGAGAUCGCGACUCGAGCUCGGGAGAUUUUCGACGUCGAUUCGGAGGGUCGUUCGAGUGUGCGUGCGUCGCGGUUGCAUCGUUGGAGGCCGGGUGAGCGCGUGAUUUCCCUCUUUUCGACUUCUCGCUGUGGUUGGACGAGCUUUUCGAGAUGGGUUGAAGUUUACCGAAAUCAUCGGAAUAUUUUCUAAGUUUUAGCAUCGUCGACAUGUAUCAUUUGUGUAUUUCCUUGCUAGUACUCGAAUUCAUGGAUUAGUGUUAAAUCUGAAUUUGGAGUUAAGCUAGUUGUAUCAUUUUACAUGUUGGACUUGAAAUUGAUUUAGGAGAAAAUAUAUAGAUCAUACAUUGUCAUUUUUGAAAAUUAUCAGAUUUAGCUUUAGGAGCCGUGGUUCAAUUGUAUCCUUGCGGUUAGUGUGAGAUGGUACCCAGAUUAGUAUAGGAUGAGUUUACACUCGUGCUGGGAUGUCGAGUUUAUUUUUACAGUAGUGUGCAGACUGUUCCAGACUGUCAGGUACUGUCGCGGUUGACGAUGAACCCAGAUUUUUGUAUUUGCAUCAGAUUGUGCCAAGGGAACGUGUGUUUUGGUUGUUAGACCCAUUUGCUUUGAUUAUAGCCUGUGAGAGCCUGAUUGAGCUCGACAAAGACAUGCUUACAUAUUCGGUUGGGUAGCGCCCACGAGUGCCACUCUGGAGUCGAGCUUUGUGCGUUUGCAUUAAGGUCGUAGUGUCUGGUUUGGACUUGCUCUUCACCAACUACCCAGCCUGGUGGUGGUUGGUGUAGCUUCGAAAGGCGGGACGGGUGCGUUCACAGUCCCUAGUGAGAUUGGGUUAGAGAUUGCAUUUCUAUAUCUAUAGAUAGUGGUUAGCGAUAGUAUAGUGGCAUAUAGCUGUAGAGUUUACCGGCAUCCUUUACUAUUCUUGUGCAUACUUUUUGUAAAUUUAGUGGGUGAGCCGUUGAGGUCGGUAAUGGUACCCACUGAGGACUACUCUUUUUUUGCAGUAGUUCUCACACCCAGUUAUUGAUCUCUUUUUGUAGAGCCUUCUUCUGCGGCUGCUGCUAUCGUCGUUUCUGAUCGUGGAAAGGGAGUCGCGAGUUAGAUCCCUUCCAGCCUUGCUGCAGUACUAGAGGAGUACAUUCCACAGGUUGUUUUGGGGUUUUUGUACAUAUGGUCUUAUUGUCUGGGUACUCGCUAGAGCGAGUGCAGCUUCCUCACGACCCUUUUGUGCAUUCGGAUCUUCAUUGUGCCAACUCCCAAAACUUUGCAAGUUGUCCCAUUCCCCGUUAGAGCUUUUCCAUUCUUAAUCACCUUAUAGGUGGUAAAAGACUCCUUCUCUGGGCAUACGUUAAAGGAACACGUCGAAUCGAGCACCUAUAGGCAUCAUCCGAAACUUUCACACUACCAAUCGCCGCAUACAGCACAUCAGAAUUGAUUGUCUCCGACUCUGCCACCUGCGCAUUUGCUGAUAUUUUCUCGUCCUGGUUCAUCAUAAUUUUCUACUUAUGUUGUUUUAACUCUUUCAGAUCAUUCCGAAGUUCCUGACAGUUGCGCUUGAUAUGCUUUUUCCUGGGACAAUAAAAGCACUCUACCUCAGAUAGUGGCUUCUUGACGCCUCCUUCUUCGCUCUCACCACCAAAUAGUAUUCCAGCUGUGUAUGUCGGACUAUUGAGUCAUCUUCUGCAUCACGUUCAAGAGAUGCACCGCCGUGACCGUCUCUAUGCUUAUAAAGUAACAUAGUCACCAGAUGCUCAUAUGUUGCCAGUAGCGAAGAUAGCAAAAUCAACGCCUUGUCCUCGUCAUCCAGAUUGACUCCAAUACCGGUCAACUGGGCUACUACCUUGUUGAAGUCAGUCAGAUGCUCAUGUAUGCUAGCUGUUUCUUGCAUCCACAAUGUAAAUAAUCGCUACUUCAGAUACAAUCUGUUCGUCAGGAAUUUGGUUAUGUAUAGGUCUUCUAAUUUCUUCCACAAUUUCGCUGGUGUCAUCUCACUGGUUGCAUUGUAAGGAAUUUCAUUUGCUAAUAAUAGAUAAAGCAUACUCAACGCCUUCCGCUCAAUUUUCAUCCAUGUCGUAUCCGUGACCUUUGUCGGCUUCGUCUCCUUUUGGUUUAUUAGAACUAAAACCGAGAAGAUCUAGGUCGUCGGGUGCGAAAAUACCAAAAGAGAAUCGAGAACGAGAGAAGAAAAUAAAGCACACAAUAGCUACGUGGUUCGGCCAUCGGCCUACGUCCACGAGCAAAGAUGGAGUGGAGAUCUUUAUUAUAAUUAAAGUGAUGUACAAAAUAUGCCUUUCUCACAAAACUCUAAUCCUAAAAAUACACCCAUACUCUCUCUCUCAUCUUCUGCACUAAACCAAUGGAAUAAAGGGUAUAUUUAUAAUAGUGACUAAAUCCUAAUACAAGUAGGAUACAAACCGACUAAGAUUAGGAAUAUCGCAAUAAAAUUAGGCAUAAUCUAAACUUAAUUUAAUGGGAUAAUCAAAACAUAAUAGGGUUAGAAAACCUUGCGGUACUAGAAUUCGAGACAUAUAUAACAAUCUCCACCUUAGCUUAAAUUCUCUGUCUUCUCCACCAAAAUCCCAAAAGCUCCUGAAGUGCUACUGCACAUGCGAACAAGUUUACGGAAUACUUGACCUUGAUCCCCUAAAAACUUAAUGAUCAAAUCCGCGGGAUUUUCUAAAGUGCCAAUUUUCUCCUUCUCCAACUACACCUUUUGCAACUCUUUUGCAUCAAAACGACAACUUGUCGUAGAGUGAAAUUGUUGGAGCGAUCAAACUUCUCGAUCUCAAACUUCGUCGUUGCCUUAAACACCCAAACGAACAUUCCGUCUCUGGUACCAGUUUGUUAGAACUAAAACCAAGAAGAUCUAGGUCGUUCGGUGUGAAAAUACCAAAAGAGAAUCGAGAACGAGAAAAGAAAAAUAAAGGACACAAUAUUUACGUGGUUCGGCCAUCGGCCUACGUCCACGAGCGAAGAUGGAAAGGUGAUCUUCAUUAUAAUCGAAAUGGUGUACAAAAUAUGUCUUUCUCACAAAACCCUAAUCCCAAAAAUACACCUAUACUCUCUCUCAUCUUCCGCACUAAACCAAUGGAAUAAAUAGUAUAUUUAUAAUAGUGGCUAAAUCCUAAUACAACUAGAAUACAAACCCACUAUGAUUAGGAAUAUCUCAAUAAAAUUAGGCAUAAUCUAAACUUAACUUAAUGGGAUAAUCAAAACAGAAUAGGGUUAGAAGUUCUUACGGUCUGGUUUUGCGACUGUCAUCCCGAAAUACUUUAAAAUCUUCUAUAUAUAUUUUUCUUGUGUCAAAUGCAGUAAUCCUAACUUGUUGUCCCUCUUAAUUUUCAUGCCAAGAAUUUUCUUAACAGCAUCUAAAUCUUUCACCGCAAACUCACCCUUAAGUAAAGCCUUCAAUUUAUUUAUCUCAACCAUGUCACUGGAAGCAGUAAACAUAUCAUCGAUAUAGAGCAACAAAUAUAUGAAAGAUUCCUUAUCAAGUUUUCUGAAGUACACGCAACAGUCACGCUUGCUUCUAGAAUAUCCGUGACCUGCCAUUAAAGAGUCGAACCGCUUAUACCAUUGUCGAGGAGACUGCUUUAAGCUAUAAAGCAAUUUCUUUAACAGGCAAAUAUGGUCCUCCUUUCCUUCAACAAUGAAUCCCUCCGGCUGUUUCAUAUAAAUUUGCUCCUCAAGUUCUCCAUGUAGAAAAACUGUCCUAACAUCAAGCUGCUCAAUAUACAGGUCAUUCAUGACUACUAACGAUAAAAUAACACGAAUAAAAGUAUGCUUCAAGACGGGUGAGAAAAUAUCAUUAAAGUCAACACCUUCUACCUGACUGUAGCCCUUAUCAACUAAACGAGCUUUAUACCUUGUAUCUUUCAUGCUGGGGAUUCUGUCUUUUUUUCUUGAAGUCGACCCACUUGCAGCCAACAAUUUUUUUGCCUGUAGGCGAUUUUACCAACUCACAUGUCCGAUUCUUAUGAAGAGACUCCAUCUCCUCAUUCAUCGCCACCAACCGCUCUGUAGAACUGGCACUAAAAAUAGCUUGAUUAUACGUGGAAGGUUCGCCUUCUUCUUUUGUAUUUUGUGCCACUGAAAGAGCGUAAGCAACCAUAUCUUCAUAACCAUAUCACUGCAGUGGUUUGAUUUGUCUCCUCGCUCUACCUUUAGCAAUUCUCUGCUUCUCAACUUGUGGGGUUUCAUUUACUAUGGUGUCUGGAGAUUGAGCUUGUUCUGAUUGAGUAGAGUUCUGCGACUGAACUAUACCAUCGGCUUCUACCUCCACCUACUUGUUAGCACUCGGGGUCUCAUCAGAAGAAUUAUGGUUGGGAUAUAAUAUAGUAGACUCAUAAAAUGUGACAUCCCUACUAAUAAUUAAUUUAGACGAUUCAGGACACCACAAUCUAUAUCCCUUAACCCCCGAUGCAUAACCAACAAAAAUGCACUUUUUAGCCCUAAGUUCUAACUUGCCUUAAUUGACAUGAAUAUAAGCAGGACAACCAAAUAUUCGCAAAUUAGAAAAAUCAGAAGGGCUACCUGACCAUACAUCCUCCGAAAUUUUGCAAUCAAGUGCUGAAUGUGGAGAUCGAUUUACUAAAUAGCAUGCCGUAGAGAUUGCCUCUGCUCAGAAACUCUUAGCUAAGCCAGCAUUAGAAAGCAUACAACGAGCUAUCUCCAAAAGAGUUCUGUUCAUCCGUUCGGUCAUCCCGUUCUGCUGUGAAGUAUGCCUAACAGUACUUUUAUGUUUGACGAUUCCUUCAUUCUUGCAAAAUUCUUCAAACUUUGAUUAACAAAAUUCCAAACCGUUGUCGGUCCUUAAUCUCUUGAUCUUCUUUUCAGUUUGCUUCUCAAUCAUGACCUUCCACUGCUUAAAAUAAUUGAACACAUCAUCCUUACUUUUUAAAAAAAAUGCUCACACUUUACGAGAAUAGUUAUCAAUAAAAGUCAAUAUAUAUCUAGCACUACCAUGAGUAGGAGUACGUGAUGGUCCCAAAGAUCAGAACGAAUGUAGUGCAGAAUUCCUUUUGUCCGGUGAACUGCUGCCUUAAAGCUGACUCUCUUUUAUUUACCAAGAACACAAUGCUGGCAGAAGUCCAAUAAUUGUAAACUCUGACUACCAAGUAGACUUCUCUCGCUCAACUUCAUCAUACCAUAUUCACUUAUAUAGUCCAGUCGCAUAUGCUAUAAUCUGGUGCUACCAAAAUCUGAUAUAGAGGAAGAAGUCACCGCUGCUGAACUUGUCACAGUGGAACCCUAUAGAACAUAUAACAUGUCGGACAACUUGGCCUUCAUCACUACAAGAUUCCCUUUAGCGAUCUUCAUUAAUCUGUCAGCUGAAGAACAUUUAAAGCCUUUAGUAUCAAGUGUACCCAAUGAUAUCAGAUUUUUCCUCAUAUCCGGAACGUGCCAAACCUCAGAUAUAGUCCUCACUACUCCAUCGAACAUCCGUACUCGAACAGUGCCAAUUCCAAUAACUGUACACUUAGAGUGAUUUUUCAUCAAUACAACUCUACCUUGAAUAGGCUUGUAUGUCGAGAACUAUUCUCUAUGCGUACAGAUAUGGAAGGAACAUGCGGAGUCCAUAAAUCACCUAUCCUGUCUACGUGUCUUAUCCGUAACUAUGAAGACGAUAUCAUUUUUAUCUGAUUCUCCUGCUGCAACACUUGCUUCUUCUUCAGUAUUGGUAUUUUUCUGACCUUGACUUUUAUCAAAAUUAUUUUUCUACUGCUCUUUAUUUUUCAACUUGAAACAAUAAGCUUUUAUGUAACCAUUUUUCUUACAAUAACCACAAAUCAGAUUCCCGUGCUUUGACUUUAAUUUAGAUGUACCUCUAUUAUCGAAACCUUUCUCUCGAGACCUCCUAAUCAGAUUCCUGUGCUUUGACUUUGAUUUAGAUGUACCUCUAUUACCGAAACCUUUCUCCCGAGACCUCCCUCUAGCGACCAAAUCUUGUCCUGAAGCUCCACCUCUCUCAUUGCUUAUCUGGAUGUCAAUUCUCUCUUUUGAAAGUAAAGAGAAUUUAACAUCAUCGAGACAUAGAACAUAAUAAUAAAAGGACUUCAUCUUCCUCCUCGAUUUUAACAUCUAUCUAGCAGAGAUCCAUAAUAAUAUAUUUAAAUUCAUCUAAAUACGACUUAAUAUAUAGAGGUACCUUCCACCAUGCGUAACAUGAAGAGACGUUGCUUCAAAUAUAACUUGUUGGUGAGGGACUUCGUCAUGUAGAGAGACUCCAAUUUAAGCCUAAGCCCUACAACGAUCUUUUCAUCCAAGACCUCGCGCAAUACCUCAUCGGAUAAAUAUAAUUGUAUUGCUGUAAGACCUCGCGCAAUACCUUACCUGCUCCGGCGUCAAAGAAUCAGACAUCUUUUUUUUUUCCCAACAAUUCCUUCUGCAAUCUUUGUUGCGUCAAUAUAGCACGCAUCUUGACUUGCCAUAAUGCGAAACUGUUUGUCCUGUCAAAUUACUUCAUCGUCAUCUUAAUCCUCAAAGGGAAUUGAAAGGCUCUGAUACCAGUUUAUUAGAACCAAAACCGAAAAGAUCUAGUUCGUCGGGUACAAAAAUACCAAAAGAGAUCCGUGAAAGAGAGAAUAUUUACGUGGUUCGGCCACCGGCCUACGUCCAUGGGCGAAGACGGAGCGCUUCAUUAUAAUCAAAGUGGUGUACAAUAUAUGCCUCUCGAAAAACCCUAAUCCUAAAAAUAUAUCCAUACUCUCUCUUAUCUUCCGCACUGAACCAAUGGAAUAAAGGGUAAAUUUAUAAUAGUGGCUAAAUCCUAAUACAACUAGGAUACAAACUCACUAAGAUUAGGAAUAUCAAUAUCUCAAUAAAAUUAGGCAUAAUUUAAACUUAACUUAAUGGGAUAAUCAAAACAAAAUAGGAUUAGAAAACCUUGCGGUACUAAAAUUCGAGAUAUAUCUAACACGGUUCAACGUCUCGUCCAACUCUCAUUGUACCAGGAUUGCCCACACUUUAAUUUGCCACAAUCUGAAAUUGUUCUUACUGUCGAACUUCUCGAUUUCGAACUUCGUGAUCAUCUCUAUUGAUCUCUCCAGCAGAUCGGUAAUCUUAAGCUCUAAUACCAAUUGUUGGAAAUUUGGUACUAGCCUUGAUUCUAGAUCUUGAGAAUCUGUAACUCAUUUUGAUACUGUCAAAUCGGAUUUUUACUAUAAACCCGUCUCCUCAGCAAAAUGUGAUACAAUCACGAAAGAGAGAAAAUCAAAACUAAAAAUAUGCAGAUGAAAUAAGAUUUAUUAAAUAAGAGAAGAUUAUAACUAACUACUCUUCUACAACAGAAUAGCUUCAAAUCCGAGCCCUUUUUUUUUUAAAUCUCUCCUACCCUUCUCGUCUUUUAUAAAUCUAAAAGACCACACUCUCUUUUUCUUUCUCACAUGCACCCGUGCACUAGAUGCAUACAACCGGGCCUAGGCUUCUCCAUGGUACGGUCGCUACCAUAAAAGGCUCUUUCUCACCCUAGCUAACUCCACCAAAGCUAUUCAACUUUUGCAUACAGUGUUCUAUAUAUAGAGCUCACCCAAGAAGACCCAAAUCAUAGGAUAAUUAUAUAUAAAUCCUAAUUUAUUUAAUAUUUAAAUUUAUAUUAAUUUAUCUCUAAUAGAUUUAAAUAUUUCUAAUAAAUAUUUAAAUCUUAAUUGGUUGGUCACCAAUAGAUUUAAAUAUUUAUUCUAAUCCAAUUAGGAAUCAACUAUAUACAAAUCUAACCAAAUCAUAACAUUGCACAUGUGUAAAGCCGUAUGGUUCUUCGUACAAGUAUAAAAAAAUGAUUAUGAAAAACUCUUUUUAAAAUUUUUCGUCCGUUUGGUUUGAAGGAAAGCAAGUAUUCUUGUAAAUCUUUUUUCAUAUUUGAUGAAAACCCAGCAUUUUUGUUAUCAGAUUCUUUUUUUAGAAAAACGAAGAUACUAAUUUAACAUAAAAUAUGAAAAAAAAAAAAACAUAAAAGCUUCUUAUUUUUCAAACCAAACGGACAGAAACUAAAAAAAUAGAUUUUCAUGAAAAACUUUUUCAUGAAAUUUUUUUUUUCACUUUUUCGAGAAACCAAAUAGCUCCAUGGUGUCUCAGCUACAUACAAAAUUAAUAUUAUUAUCGGCAUAUUAGGAGUUUUCUACGAGUGCCUGUUUUGUACAUAAAACUAUACCAUACAAAAUAAAGAGUAAUUUUAUAGGUCCUCUACUGACCUUAUCUUGUGUAAUUGGUUAAAGACUCGGUGGUUAAUAUCUGAGAUUUCAAGUUCGAAGCCUAACUUCUUCAUAUCUCUAGUUUAGUUUAUUUUUUUAAAAAAUGAAUGAAGUGGUUAGAGCUUACUACUAUCUUCUUCUCUCAAAAAAAAAAAAAAUUAUAGAUCAUGUAAACACUGCUUUAUGUACAUACUGUCCAUAAGUUGGCGUAUAUGAUAUAAAAUUUUUUUAAUUCAUUUAUGUUUUACGUAUGCAGUCUGAAAAUGCCACAAAUGUUUGCCGACAAAUAGAAAUCUAGAAGGGUAGCAUUUUGAAAGACCCAAACGUUUAUCAUAAAGAAAAGAAAAGAAAGAGAAAAAUUAGGGAUGUAACUGAAGUCCUACUUCCAAUCCUAGUUAGUUAAUUCACGAAUUAUUCACGAAUUAUUCGCGAAUUAUUGAAAAUCCGAAUUAAACGGUCCGUUUACUAUUUUUCCCAAAUAAAGAGAAUUAUUCGCAAAUUUUUGGGCUAGCUGAAUUGUUCGUGAAUUAUUCCCGAAUUAUUGAAAAUAUAAAUAAAAAACUUAUAAUUUUUAUUUUUAAAUAUAAAUUAUCUUAUAUUUUAUAUUUUAUACCGAAUCCAUUUUUUAAGCCGAAUUUUUCACCGAAUUUAAAAAUUAGAAAACGAAUUUUAUGCGUAUUGUUGGAACAGAUUGUGAUAAAGGUAUGAAAUAGAAAGAUUAAAAAGGCUUCAAGGCGUGUAGCAAUGCCACUUUCCUUAAGGCUUAAUCCGUCCCCACCGUUCUAACAAUUUGGUGUGCACCGGGUCAACGAACAACCUCCCAGGAUACAAUGAAGCGUAAACCUCAACUGCGUUUGCACACACGAAGUCGAGCCUUUGAGCACUCACUCGAUUAAGUUGUCAAAAGAAAUAGAAUAUAAAACAAGAAUGGAAUUAUUAUGAAUGAAGACUUCAACUCUUCAACUGUUUUCUGUCUGUCUCCUUCUGCAACCAAUGCUAUGGACUUAUAUAGGCCACGAACGGGUGCUUCAUGAAGUAACUAUUCACGAAAGGGUGUUUCGUGAAGUGACCUUUCGAUUGUGACUUUUCAUUUGAUCAUAACUACCAAAUAGUUAUAUGAAUCAAGUUCAAUGAAUAUAACCAUUGAUUCCAACGGGCAUAUGUACGAAGAGACACACUAUAAAGAUGUGUCUUUUCAUAUCAUAUUCUUUCACUAAAAGUCACAUCCUUUCACUCUAAGAGUCAUACCCUUUGAUUAGAGUUGCAUCCACUCACUAAGGGUUGCAUCCAUUCACUAAGAGUUGCAUCCAUUCACUAAGGAUUGCAUCCUUUCACGAAGAAUCACAUCCAUUCACUAAAAACAAUAAACAAAAUAUAUUAUUUUAAAAUUUUCCUUACAAUUCCCCACCAAAUUUUAAAAUACAUAAAAAUACAUCAAAAAGCAAAAUAAAACAAAAUCAAAAAUCAAAAUCAAAAUUCUUGACAACUUGACAAAACCGUAUGCAUAGGUGUAGGUGUAUUAAAACUUGAACCUACACUUAGUGAAAACACAUCAAAGUUAGUCAUAAUUGAAUGGUAGACAAGCUUUGAACCAACAAUUAUUUUCGACUAACCGGACAUAUCUCACACAUAGAAAUUUAUAAUCAGUCGAGUGCUCUAUUUUAUUGCUGACACUUUUAUGGCCUUGUGUCCGCAUCCUGUUUCAUGAAUGCUGUUAGAGUCAAGCCCUUAACUCCUAGAAGCGGCCACACUUCACAUUCAUAUAGGUAGACUCUACCAGAAGUGUCCCGUAUUUAACACUUCAGUAAAUACUACUGUAGGUCUAUUAAGAACUUUAUUAGUUCAACCUUCCCUUUUCAAUACGGAUACCAAGCACUUUACUUGGGAUGGAAAUUUUAUAUUAUAGUGCUUGCAAUCACUCCAUAUGAUGUACUUUGGCUCAUUGAACUUAAGACUUGAUGAUGUUUCAAGUGUUAAGUCGAGUUUCCAUCAUUGGUGACUUUGUAAUAUGGGCUUGAGACCCAUCCCCAUCGAUGUCCUGAAUAUCAAUUCUCUUGGAAGUCCCUUAGUCAACGGAUCCGCAAGAUUUUGGUUUGAUCUUACAAAAUCAAUGGUAAUUAUGCCAUCUGAUAUCAGUUGUUUUACAUAGCUAUGUCUUAAUCCAAUAUGUCUUGACUUCCCAUUGUAUGUUUGACUAUAUGCUCUUGAGAGCGUAGCUUCACUAUCGCAAUGUAGCGAUACCGGCGGCAUUGGUUUUGGCCAAACUGGAAUUUCAUAUAAUAAAUUCCUUAUCCAUUCCGCCUCCUUACUAGCAGACGCUAGUGCUAUAAAUUCUGCUGCCAUGGUAGAGUCCGCUAUACAUGUCUGUUUCUUAGAACCCCAAGAAAUCGCACCUCCACCUAAUAUAAAUAUCCACCCACUUGUGGAUGCAUGAUCUUCUUGAUCUGUUAUCCAACUGGCAUCUGUAUAGCCUUCCAAUACUGUUGGAUAUCCACUAUAGAAAAUUCCAUAGUCCAUUGUCUUUUUCAAAUAUUUCAAAAUUCUGUAAAUAGCAUGCCAAUGUACAUUACCUGGAUUGCUAGUAAAUCUACUUAAUUUACCAACAGCAAAUGCAAUAUCAGGCCUAGUACAAGACAUGGCAUACAUCAAACUUCCAAUAAUCUUAGAAUAUUCUAACUGAUUAAUUGAUCUACCAGUAUUACGAACUAGUUUUAGAUUAGGAUCAAAAGGAGUUGAUACUGGAGUACAAUCAAAAUAACCAAAUUUUCUAAGAAUCUUUUCGAUAUAAUGAGACUGUGUUAAAAAUAAUCCAUUAUUUUCACGAAUAAUUUUAAUUCCCAAAAUAAUAUCAGCCUCCCCCAUAUCUUUCAUAUCAAAAUUGCAAGAUAAAAAAUUUUUAGUAUUUUCUACUUGCUGAACAUCGGUGCCAAAAAUUAACAUGUCAUCAACAUAUAGACAUAUAAUAACACCUUUACCAUUUGAAAAUUUACUAUAAACACAUUUAUCAGAUUGAUUAAUUUUAUAACCAUUGGAAAGAACAAUCUGAUCAAACUUUUGAUGCCAUUGUUUAGGUGCUUGUUUAAGCCCAUACAACGACUUGAUAAGUUUACACACUUUGUGCUCUUGUCCAGGAACAACAAAGCCCUCGGGCUGUUCCAUAUAAACUUCUUCAUCUAAUUCUCCAUUUAAGAAUGCUGUUUUGACAUCCAUUUGAUGAAUAAUCAAAUUAUACAUUGAAGCAAGAGCAAUCAAAGUUCUAAUAGUCGCUAAUCUGGCAACAGGUGCAUAGGUAUCAAAAUAAUCAAUGCCUUCUUUUUGUGUAAACCCUUUGGCAACAAGUCUUGCCUUGAAUUUAUCUAUGGUGCCAUUUACAUUGAUUUUCUUUUUGAAAAUCCAUUUACACCCAAUAGGUUUACAUCCAGGAGGAAGAUCAACUAAUUUCCAUGUUUGGUUUGUCAUAAUUGAGUCCAUUUCAUCAUUUAUCGCUUCUUUCCAAAAAGCGACAUCAGGAGAUUUCAUUGCCUCCUCAAAUGUUGUGGGGUCUGAGUCAAUGUUUAAACAAAAUUGGAAACUUUCUGUAAUCAUUUCUCUACUACCCUCAACAAGAAAAGUAUAAAAAUCUGGUCCAAAUGUUUUAGCAAUUCUAACUCUUUUACUCCUUCUAAGUUCUGGGGUUUCAAUUGCAACAUCAUUUUUCUCAUUGGAGUGUUCUUUACUCACAAUAAGUUCUUUGGGUCUAGGAAUUGAUACAAAUCUGUUUUCAUCAAAUAUAGCAUCUUUAGAUUCAAAAACUGUGUUGAUCUCAAUGAAGUCAUUAGAUUCAAUCACGUAAAAUCUGUAUGCUUUACUAUGUUGUGCAUACCCAAUAAAUAUGCACUCAAUUCCUCUUUCACCCAGUUUCUUUCUUUUCGGUUCUGGAACCCUCACAAUAGCUCUACAACCCCAAACUUUUAAAUAAUUUAAAUUGGGCUUUCUUCCCUUGAAUAAUUCAUAAGGAGUUUUAUCAUUCUUUUUUGUUGGGAUUCUAUUUAGUAGAUGGCAAGCUGUUAAUAAAGCUUCGCCCCAAAAUCCAUAACUUAACCCAGAGUUAGAAAGCAUAGCAUUGACCAUUUCCAUUAAUGUUCUAUUUUUUCUUUCUGCAACUCCGUUUUGUUGUGGAGUAUAAGGUGCAGAGGUUUCAUGUAUAAUACCAAUGGACUCAAAAAAUGAAGGAUCAUAAUAUUCUCCUCCUCUGUCUGUUCUUAGGCAUUUGACCAUUUUCUCACAUUUCACCUCAACUUCAGAUUUAUAAAUUCUAAAUUUAUCUAGCGCUUCAUUUUUAGAAUGCAAAAGAUAAACAUAACUAUAUCUAGAAAAAUCAUCAAUAAAUGUAACAAAAUAUUUCUUUCCACCAAUAGAAGGAGAAGCAUGCAAGUCACAAACAUCACUAUGUACCAACUCAAGUAGAUUAGAACAUCUAUCAAUUUUAGGAAAAGACUUUCUAGUAAUUUUAGUGAGCAUGCAAGUAUUACAUUUUUCUAAUUUAUUAUCAAAAUUAGGAAUUAACUCUAACUUAGCCAUAUCUUGUAAUUUUCUAUAAUUAACAUGUCCUAAACGAUUAUGCCAUAAAGAAGAAGAGUCAAUAAUAUAGGCUGAAAUAUUUAUUUUAUUAAUAAGAUUGAGUUUGAACAUGCCCUCAUACAAAUAUCCUUUUCCCACAAAGAUUCCACCCUUCGACAAAAUAAAUUUGUCGGCCUCAAAUACAAGUUUGAACCCAAAUUUGUUAAGAAGACUUCCUGAAAUAAGAUUCUUCCUAACUUCAGGUACAUGAUACACAUCGGUGAGAGUGAGAGUUUUUCCUGAUGUGAACUCGAGUUCCACCUUGCCCUUUCCUUUGAUUUGUGCUGUUGAAGAAUUGCCCAUAUAGAGAACGUUUCCAUCCUCCAAUGCAUCAUAAGUUUUGAAUAAACUUUUAUCCUUGCACACAUGCCUUGUGGAACCCGAAUCAAUCCACCAAGCUCCGUCAUCUUCGAGUAUAUUAGCCUCGGAUAUCAUAGCCACAAAAUUUCUUUUGGAAUCCGGUGCACUUUCCUUUUUGAGGAACCGACAUUCUUUCUUGUAGUGGCCUGGUUUACCACAAUGAAAGCAUGCACCUUUCUUUUUCUUAUUUGUCAUGUUGUGGUUGAUCGGAUGCUUAGCUCUCUUUCGAUUUUCUUUUGUGGGUUGACGGGUUUUACUAUACUCAUCUUCCGUCACAUACACUUUGGCACUCUGAGCAUCUUGCUCCUUUUUGCUAUCUUGCAAACGAUAUUCUUCUUCUAUGCGAAGAUGGUUAGCCAAAUCUUUAAGAGUAAUCUCUUCCUUUCUAUGUUUAAGACUUUUCUUAAAGUCUUUCCAUGAUGGAGGAAGUUUAUCGAUUAUAGAGGCCACAAUUAUAGAUUCAUCCAUAUUCAUAUUAUGUUGAGUAAAUUGAUUGAGAAUAUGUUGAAUUUCAUGUAAUUGAUCUAGAACAGAUCUACUAUCAACCAUUUUAUAGUUAUUAAAUUUGCUAACAAGAAACUUCUUACUUGUGGCAUCCUCGGAUUUGUAUUUUUCUUCAAGGCCUUCCCACAGUUCUUUAGCCGUUUUCACAUUUUGAUAGACGUCGAAAAGCGCAUCCGACAUAGCAUUUAGAAUAUUGCCUCGGCAUAUAUUGUCAUCUUCAUCCCAUUUUUGUCUUGUACGAGUUUGUGCAACAGGUUCAUCAUCGUUUUCUUCUGGUCUUGGAGUAGUGAGGACAUAAGCAACUUUGAGAGUCGACAGAAGGAAAAAUAAUUUCUUCUGCCAGCGUCUGAAGUCCAUGCCAUCAAAUCUUUCUAGUCUCAUAAAGUUUGUUGCCAUCUCUCGUAGAGUAGCAGUCGACAUUUUCGGUUUUAAGCCUUAAGAUUGUUGGAACAGAUUGUGAUAAAGGUAUGAAAUAGAAAGAUUAAAAAGGCUUCAAGGCGUGUAGCAAUGCCACUUUCCUUAAGGCUUAAUCCGUCCCCACCGUUCUAACAAUUUGGUGUGCACCGGGUCAACGAACAACCUCCCAGGAUACAAUGAAGCGUAAACCUCAACUGCGUUUGCACACACGAAGUCGAGCCUUUGAGCACUCACUCGAUUAAGUUGUCAAAAGAAAUAGAAUAUAAAACAAGAAUGGAAUUAUUAUGAAUGAAGACUUCAACUCUUCAACUGUUUUCUGUCUGUCUCCUUCUGCAACCAAUGCUAUGGACUUAUAUAGGCCACGAACGGGUGCUUCAUGAAGUAACUAUUCACGAAAGGGUGUUUCGUGAAGUGACCUUUCGAUUGUGACUUUUCAUUUGAUCAUAACUACCAAAUAGUUAUAUGAAUCAAGUUCAAUGAAUAUAACCAUUGAUUCCAACGGGCAUAUGUACGAAGAGACACACUAUAAAGAUGUGUCUUUUCAUAUCAUAUUCUUUCACUAAAAGUCACAUCCUUUCACUUUAAGAGUCAUACCCUUUGAUUAGAGUUGCAUCCACUCACUAAGGGUUGCAUCCAUUCACUAAGAGUUGCAUCCAUUCACUAAGGAUUGCAUCCUUUCACGAAGAAUCACAUCCAUUCACUAAAAACAAUAAACAAAAUAUAUUAUUUUAAAAUUUUCCUUACACGUAUUAUAUCCGUAUUGAAUUUUUGCUGAAUUUGAAUUAACUAUCUAUGCUUCCAAUUGGCCAAAUAUUAAAGGGAUCACUUUAAGAUCGCCAAUACAUUCCCUUCUCUUUUAAAGUGUUGAUACCAAAAUUAAGCCGACCUAAUCCACGUAUGAGCCAAUAAGGACACGUGGUACACUAGGAGUCGACAAUAAGGCGCCUGAAGGACAAGAAGGCGGGAACGGUUGAAGAUUAGGGCGUAACUUCCAUGAGGAGUUAGCGUAACUUCCAUGAGGAGUUAGUAUAACUUCCACGAUCAUGGUUACAACCACUCGCCCCAACUACUUUCAACCAAAUAAUAAUGUGAGCUAUAAAUAGUAACUUUGAAGCCUGCAAUAGGGGUCUUUGCCCCUGCGCACAAAAGACCACCCUUAUUUUCUCUGCAUUUUAUCGCUUUUCUAGGAGUAGUCUAAAUGUAAUCUUUUUCUUUUCCGCAUUUACUGCUUUCCUAGGAGUAGUUCUUGUAACUUAGAUCUUUGGAGUCUGUCUGCCCCAUGGGCAUCACUUUCUUAUAGAUCUUUGGAGUCUGUCUGCCCCAUGGGCAUCACUUCCUUGUAGAAUAUACUUGGAGUCUGUCUGCCCCACGGGCAUCACUCCCCUGUUCUUGUACUCUUCCAUUCCCUAUUCAAUAGAAAGUCACGUUCGGCUAUUCGGGUCGACCAGAUUUUGCGUUGUGCUAGCCAUUCGGCUCAUCUCCCGGCUUAACUUCCGACUUUCCCUGCAUAUUCGGCUUAUCCAGCCGAACCGGAGAGUAAAAAGAGUUUUCGAACCCGGCUGACCCGAUCUCUCGUCAGCCGAAUCGCUUGAUCCUCUGUGGGCGCGUACUUCGAGGGUCAUAAUCCGCAGCCAUCUCGCAGCCCGAUGAUCUUUCCAAGGAGAAUUGUUGACCGGGUCAAGAGUCAGGACGUUCGGCUACCAACAAUUUUUUGGCACGCCCGGUGGGACUCCUUUUUAGGUAAAUUUAUAUAUAAAUUAUGGCUGAUAAUGUACGUAAUAGGGUUGUUCCUAGAAAUUCUGGGAGUGAUCAACCUAGUGAUUCAGACAAUGCUGGCGAAUGUCAAGCAGUUUUGCCAGUUGAAGGAGAAACUAGUGGACAGUCGGCUCAUCAAGAGCCGAGUCUAACUCAGGCACUCGGCCAGAUGAGCCGAGUCCUGCAAACUUUAGAUCAAAAUAUCCAUCAAAGUACCGCUCGACUAGACGCGGUGCUGGCCGCUAUCACGGCCUAUAAUGAAAAUAUUGCACGAAUAGGGCAAUUAUUGACUCGAAAUGAGCAACCAAUGACAGGCUUACAAAGGCCUAUGAUGACACCAGUGUUGCAAAAUCCUGCGACACCGGUAAAUGGACAGCCCCAAUACCAGGGGGCACCAUUCCAAGCGGCUUACAGACCGGCCGUCGUCAAUACCGGUCAACAGCCGGAAAUUACAUGGGGAUUGCCACCACCUCCGCCGAUGGCAGCAUACCAGCCCCAAAAUGUAGGGGCUAGAGCUGGGGGGCAGGCCCCUAAUGAUAUGCAAGGAGCGAACCCUGCAAUACAGAAUUCUGGAGUUCCUCAAGGGCCAAAUUCGGCUCAAGCACAAGCUCCGCUGUAUGCUCAGAUUGAGGAAGUCAUUCGGAAUACCUUCGGAGUAGGGGCCAGGCCGGCUAUGCGGCCUGUUUUUCGAUCCCCGUAUCCAGCAAACAUAGAUACAGAGCAUCCGUAUCCGGCAAACUGGAAAAUGCCGAAGUUCGACAAGUUCUCGGGCGAUGAGACCGAGAAUACGGUCGAGCAUAUAGCCCGGUUCACGGCCCAAUGUAGAGAAGCGGCCGCUGACUCAUUUUUGAAACUUCGAUUAUUUAACACGUCGUUAACUAAAACGGCGUUUACUUGGUAUACAAGUUUAUCAGCCAAUUCCGUCCAAGAUUGGGACGAAUUGGAAAGAAAAUUUCAUGAGCGAUUCUAUAGAUCGGAGCCACAAUUAUCGGUCGCCGACUUGGCUUUAUACCGACAAAUGUCAGGUGAAACGGUCGAAGAGUAUUUGGACCGUUUCAAAAUAGCCAAAACCCGGUGCUUUAUGAGAAUGCCGGAAUCAGAGUUCGCCAAAAUGGCGUUAAAUGGUCUGCAUUUUAAGAUAAAAGACCAUUUUGAAGAUAAGUAUUUUUCUAACCUAUUUGAUCUAGGUGUUCGAGUUGCCCAAUACGAGCAAUUUCAGAAGAAAAGUGAGGACGAUCGGCUGCAAUGGAGCCGAUAUAAAAAUCAAAGCAAAGGCAAGGAGAAAUCCUUGCUAGAAGAACAGUCGGUUCAAGAAGAGCCGAGCCAAUCGAGUGAAAGUGAAGAAUCGGCUGAUGAAGCCGAGAUAUAGCCACUUUCUUUAAAAAGAAUUUCUUGAUAGAAAAACAUUCGGUUCAAGAAGAGCCGAACUAAUCGAAUAAAAGUAAAGAAUCGGCUAAUGAAGCCAAGAUAUAUGUGGCUGGGAUGAUGAAGCGUCGUUUUCCUAAAGCCGACCAAGACCAGCGAAACUAAAGCUUGGGUCUCGGCUGUGCUUUUGAACAGUCGAUUUGACACCAAUAGUCAUCCGAAUGUUCAUUCGAAAGACUAUUGGGGGGCAUUGUUGAUACCAAAAUUGAGCCGACCUAACCCACGUAUGAGCCAAUAAGGACACGUGGAACACCAGGAGUCGGCAAUAAGGCGCCUGAAGGACAAGAAGGCGGGAACGGUUGAAGAUUAGGGCGUAACUUCCAUGAGGAGUUAGCGUAACUUCCAUGAAGAGUUAGUAUAACUUCCACGAUCAUGGUUACAACCACUUGCCCCAACUACUUUCAACCAAUUAAUAAUGUGGGCUAUAAAUAGUAACUUUGAAGCCUGCAAUAGGGGUCUUUGCCCCUGCGCACAAAGACCACCCUUAUUUCCUCUGCAUUUUAUCGCUUUUCUAGGAGUAGUCUAAAUGUAAUCUUUUUCUUUUCCGCAUUUACUGCUUUCCUAGGAGUAGUUCUUGUAACUUAGAUCUUUGGAGUCUGUCUGCCCUAUGGGCAUCACUCCCUUGUAGAAUAUACUUGGAGUCUAUCCGCCCCACGGGCAUCACUCCCCUGUUCUUGUACUCUUCCAUUCCCUAUUCAAUAGAAAGUCACGUUCGGCUAUUCUGGCCGACCAGAUUUCGCGUUGUGCUAGCCAUUCGGCUCAUCUCCCGGCUUAACUUCCGACUUUCCCUGCAUAUUCGGCUCAUCCAGCCGAACCGGAGAGUAAAAAGAGUUUUCGAACCCGGCUGACCCGAUCUUUCGUCAGCCGAAUCGCUUGAUCCUCUGUGGGCGCAUACUUCGAGGGUCAUAAUCCGCAGCCGUCUCGCAGCCCGACGAUCUUCCCGAGGAGAAUUGUUGACCGGGUCAAGAGUCGGGACGUUCGGCUACCAACAUAAAGAUUUGCAAAUUUAUAACAAACUAGGCCAUUGAGUAAUGACACAAGAAGGAAAUGGAGACGUAUUAAGUGUGAUUUUAUCCUAAGCCUUAGUUUGGUAUUGAGGUUCAUCUGGCGUUAUUAAAUAAAAUGAAAUUAGGAUAAAAAGCAUAUAGGGAUAUACUUUUGUGUUUUCCGUUGGUACCGCAGAAAAUAUAUCGUAACCGACUAUUUGUGAUGUACGGAACACAAAAUUACGUACGGAAACAAACAUAGUAUUUUUCUAUCGUAAUUUCUCACCGCACAUAACGCAAUCUUUCCGCAAUCCCAAACGACAACACUCUCUCUAGAUGUGUAUGUUCUCACGUUGCAGGUCCAAUACUACAUAUCAAACUUCUGAUUUAUAUAUGUUGAGGACACAUUUGACCUCCUUUGUGUUCUAUAUUUUCCUUUUUCUUUUUCUUCAAAUGUUUUUGAAAGUUAAAGACACCUAAAUAGAGAUAAUAAUUAAGUUAAAUUUAAGUUUGAUGUGAUUCUAAAGUUAGAAUAUAGUUACUACAUGAUUUUUCAUUAUUAUAGGUAAGAAUAGGAGUCCAGUGGCGUGAAAUAGUUGUUCAUCUUUAAAACCCCCUUUUUUUAGGGGCAAUUGCUUAUAUAUUCCUGAAAAGUUUCCGACUUUCUGAUUUACCCCCUUUAGAAGGGUAAUAUUGAAAAUACUCUUUUUGCGUUCCAAUCUAUUUCAAAUAUACCCAUAGAGUUAAAAUCUUUUAAUGAACUCUCUUAUUUUUAUGAAAUUACUAUUUUGCCCUUUCAAAUAUAUCUUUCUACCGGCACCCACUUUUCUUAUUUGCCCUUAAGUUAGGGGUACAAAAAGUAUUUUGCUUUUUGAUCUUUUCAAAUAAACUCUUCUACCAUUACCAACAUUUCUUAGCUGCCCUUAAGUUAAGGGUAAAAGUGGCAUUUUAAUUUUUUUAACUGUGAUAGAUAUUUAACUCAUGUUUAAUCUAAGUUAACUUAACGGGUGAUAAUUGUAGGGAUAUUUUGGAAUAAUGGAGGAACAUAUGAGGGGUAUAUUGGAAAGCAAAAAAAAAUAGAGGUAAUGAGAUAUUUCCGAGAUUUUGAGGGAUAUAUAGGCAAUUAUCCCUUUUUUUUAUGAGAGAGAAAGAGAGAGAGAGAGGUAGCAUGCUACGUACGUACCUACUUUGCUUAUUUUUUAUAAAUAAAUUCAACUAAAAAUAUGAAGCAACUAGAUUUUAAAUUUGGAAUUUCAAGUACCAACCAUCAAGUACUUAGCCAACUGCAUUUGGUAUGGUCGGUUUC
rnacentral:lncRNA from 1 species